rnacentral:lncRNA from 1 species
UCUUUUUUUUUUUUUUUGAUUUUUUUGAUUUUUCAUGUUUUUGGUAAUCCUGUAUAUAAAUGAUAAUAUCAGUUCCUAAAACCAUUCUAUUAUCAGUUGGUUUUUGAGGAUGGGGACCUUUUUCUUCAAAGGAUUUCUUAACAUGGUACUUCCAUAAUUCCGUUAUCAGAUAAUCAGAGAAUACGUUAGUAGAAAUUUGUGAAAUGAUUAAGAUAUGGUAUUCCAAAGUCAUUGCCCGUAAGCUGAUAAUGGAAUCUGCUUUUGUGAUCAGAGAAUCUCUGCCUCCACCAUACUUGCUACUGCAGUACUGAUGAAUCAUGAAUGGUGACAAGUAAAUGCAAGAAGUCCGUAAAACUACUAAACGUGCAGGAACCAUCAAUGAAAACGUGUAGUUCUAAACAAAUCCGGCGGCAAAACUCCGGGUAGCGGAUGAAAGAUAAAAAGUAGCAGAGAGUUUGGAAUAUAUGUAGUCUGGUUACAUAGACGGUACCGUUAGGUCUCCCUAGCAUUGCCCUUCGCACUCAUGUUACUACAACUGUUGUUUCACUCUCCCUGGCAACAAGUGAACUUGUAGGAUUAUGGUUGGGCUUUGAGAAGAAAAGAAUUUCAAUAUUCAGGUCAAAGUUUUCCAGUAGGAUCAUUUGUUCAAACUCUCUUAAUAAGGGCCAAAAUUCUAUUUGUGUUAAUUAGCCAGUAAAACAACAAACUGAAGACACCAUCUUCAAAUCUACCACUAGUAGUAAAUAUUGGGAUGCACAAAACCGCAGAAUUACUAAUUAAUGAGGCAAAACAGUGGCAAAAAACUUGGACUACUUUAUUGUCUAAAGCAAUUCGAUAGAGAGCAAAAAGAGACAGAGAGAGAAGUUACUGCUGAUGAUCAUUAUCAUGAGGGGAAAGAGCAAUGAUAAGAAAGAACAGCGAGGAGAAGUGUUGAAGCCUGUAGCAGAGGAAAUUGUCAAUUACUACUGCUUGUCUUGCAAGGAAUUAUUCUAUUAGAGUACUUCUUUUUAGCUUUUCCCGUGGAGGAGUAGAAGUAGAAAGCAGCAGUGGUCCAAAUCUACAAGUAGGGUGAUCUGCUUGCUUGAGCAAAUUGUCAUCACCUACAUUAGCAGGUAUAGGCACCAGCCUUUCCCGAGAGGCUGCCUAGCUAGCAUAGGUUUUUGUUGGUAAAAAGUUGCAGAAAACUAGAUAAGUUGUUUCCCAGAGGGAUUCUACUCUCAAAGUGGAAGACAAGUUGGAAAAAGGUAAAAAUUAAUCCGCACAUACUUUGGACAUUGGAGCAUCAAUUUAGGUCACUUAGUAAAAUUCAAGUUCCGAAAUUGCGUGCAAUAGGGAAAAAAGAAUCCUUCAAAAAAAAAAUAAAAAAAAAAGAGAGGAAAAAGAAUUGGAACACAAAUCUAUGCCUAGUUUAGAUUAAUUUUUUUUUAUUAUAAAUGGAAGAAUUUGAAUUCGAAACCACUAACUUAUACUCCCUCUUUCCAAUCAUGCAACUUAUCUCUGCAAGUCCAAUUUCGAUGGAAUUUUUAACUGCAUUAAAGAAAUUUUGAUGCAUCCGCACUAAAGUUGUCUCUACCCAAUUAUAUGUUGACACAUCAUCAUCAUCAGUACUGGUUAGAUUUUUUUUUUUAAAGAAUAAUUAUCAUUUUUCUGGUAUCAAAAUUCAAACGGAAGAAUAGUAGUCGUACUACCAUUAGCACAAAGGGUAAUGCCCUGCAUUAUAUAUCCAGAAAACUUCCAAGUCAAGAGAGCAGUUUUUUUCACUGCGUAACUGGCUUCCUCCUCCUCGCUUGCUUAAUCUUCCCACCUCCUGAGUUAGGCACGAUAUUUCCUGAGUUAAGCACUCUGCACAUUUAGAUUGUGUUUGGAUUGCAUUUUUCAUGAUUUUUCAUAGAAAAAAUACUGUAGCGAUCGAUGUAUGUGAGGAAAAAAGGUAAUAGGGAAAUGUCGACGGAAAACAGCAAUCCAAACAAGGCCUUAUCUUGUACACAUUGCAUUUCUCCAAAUAAAUCACAUCCUCAUAAAUCCGCUUGAACUUUGAAGUUACAACUAUUAAGUUACAAUUUCCAAACGAUUCAAAAUGAAAUCCAGUUAAUUAUAUCACAUUCUUAAAAAGAAAAAAGAGUUGCUAAAAAGGUCUGGUAUCCUAAUUUAACCAUGCGAAAAAAUGUUGAUCUUGCAACUACCCCCGAUUAAACGUACGCCCGGCUCCUUUUCUCUGAUGAGCAAUAAAAUCUCGAGUCAGUAAUGAAUGCUUGCUACUAGUUCUCGAUCAUUGAGGAAUGCAUCACCAGCCCGAUGAAUAAGUUAAAAACUUUUUUUUUUUUUUUUUGUCAAAAGGUCAAAGUUAAAAACUUUUCAUCACAGAAAAAAGAAGCAACUUUUUUUUGGCCCAGGAACUGAAGAAGAUCAGAGAGUUGGUGAUGCAUUCCUUCGACAGGUGGCCAAGAGUGAUAGAAAUGUGACAAGAAAAGUUCGUUUGAUGCGUCUGUCCAAACAGUUACCAUAGCAGUGGAAGCAGAACCAUUCUAGCAGGUAGAUGUAGAUCUUUUAUUGAUGAUGAUAAUCAGGUAUGACGAGACAUUUAAUGGAAAAUGGGAAGAGUUCCCACUGCAGAAAUCUGUUAUUUCCGCUUUCUCAUCAUACAGGCGAAGACCGUCUGAAAAUGCGUAUGCCACUGUGCGGCAUGCAUGUCAAUAUGACAAUGCAGCUCAGGUUAAAUCAACUUUCUAACCCACUGUGGAAAAAGAAAAGAAAAAAAAAGCAAAGCCAUGCUACUGAACCUUUUCUUGUGUAGAAUUUCUUGUUUUUAUCUUAUCCGUUUCAUGGAUUCUCCUUCACAUCAGAAUCUGUUCCUUGAAUUUAAUCUUGCAGAUGAUGUCGUUUGUUGCGAAAGAAGCCCGUCCUCCAGACAUCUUCAAUAACAAGGUGGAUGUUUAACUUAGAAUAUCACGCUGGAAGAACGAUAAAAUCGAAUAAAUUCCGAGUAUCAACUGUCAACUUGGGAAUUCAGAUUGUGGUACAAAACGUUAGAUGAAACAAGACGCAGCUGCGAUGUCGUCCCAUGAGAUUGACGAGAUGAUCCAUCUCCAGGCCAGGGAAAGAUCGGCAUCAGAUUGUCAAGUGUGGACAAUCAUCGGGAACUAUCAUAUUAUAUCCGCAAAUGCAAAAGGACAACUUCCGAAUCGGAUGCGAUGAAGACGGACAAAUGGGAGUCUGUGUGGCGCAUGUGCUGCUGAGAUUCCCGAAACCUUUUUUGCUUCUUGUUUUGGGCUCGCUUUGCUUACGUUCUGGAUUUUUUUUUUUUUUUGCUUUUAUUAUCUGGGUAGUUUCAUUUCAUAACUUCUAAGUAAUUCAUCAGCUUGUUGCGACGGAAAUGACUGGCGUGGAUGGUAUCGAGUAAUUUACUGCUCAUCGUUCCACGCCAUGGAGAUACAUCAAUGGUACCGGGCAAGAAACUUAACCUUGCGCGGGCAAUAGUUCACAAGCUCAGCAAAAUGACAUGCAACAGACAAAGCUUUUUAUUUGAUCACAGACAAACCUACAUGUGAUGUGAUCGAGCUUCCAAAAGUACAAACAUUUUACUUCCUCUCAGCUGCAUGUUCCUCCAUCACCAGCGUACGUCCUACACCUAUUGCUACUGAAUGUCAAAGGGCUUCCUUCUUUUCCUAAAAGCAGGAGAAAUUAGCACUAUUAGCCAUAAGCCCCAUCAGCUAUAUUUUAAUCAUAAUAGAAUACUGAACUCAUCGAGCCAGCGCCACUGGAAAGAGGCUGAACAGGAAAGUAGACACAAGAUGGGCAGAAAACACCACAAGGCACCAAUUGCAUGUGAAGAAAGCACAGCAGCAAAACUUCCCAGGAAAAUUUUCCAUAACAAAACGGAACCCGACUCAUUGAUGCAGCACAGUAUAUUUCAUCCAACAAAAUCCAUUGAUCAGUUAGAAAAACAAAAAACAUAAGUUGCUGCUAAAUUUGAACCAUGUCAACGAUCAGAGCAUCUUCACCAGUACAACCAAAGAAGAAUAAAAAAAAUACCCUGGAAAUAAAAGAGGAUUUCCUACCAGAAGGCUAGACAGGUUUAAUCAGGAUCCACUUGUAAAGCAAAGACAUUAUUAUUUGUUCCUGAAGUUUCUUUAUGUCACAUUUUAACUCGGUUAAGAAUCAGCAAUUUAAAUGGAAUUCAUCAGAAAAUAAUCACCAAACCGAAUAUAGCCUUGACCUUCAUUAAUGACCAGAAUAUCUUUCUUGAAGCACCCAAUAAAGCAACAAGAGCGGAGAGAUUCGCUCAUAAACAAAGAUAAGCACAAAAGCAGAUGGAAAGUUGUUAACGAAAAGCUAGUUAAGACUUGAGUAUGAGGCUUCCUUCUAUCAAUGGUUUCCCGGGCGAAACCGGCUUAAAAACUCCUGUACUCGUGAACCAGCAAUAUGCGUGCUUCUCCAAAAUAUGAUUUUCAAUCUUUUAACUGCCCAGAAUUCCCAGACAAUACAGGCCAAACAGACAGCCAAUCUGCUGAGCCAAAUGGUGUCUAAAAAAGUAAAUUGUCAAGUACACUGCAAAAUCACUUCACUGAGGAAUUUAUUUCCAGGUUAAUUGAAAAUGUUAAAGGAAACCAAAAAAUUUGUCUUGGAGUACCAAGGCUGCAACAACUUGAAUAAUUCUGCAAUGGAAUUUCUGUCAUGGCUAUACACCUAGCUCCCAGUUAUCUUGAAACAGGGCGAAUAGUAUAGUCAUGAUUCUGUAUGCCCCAUACAAGUAUAUAAUUUUUGAAUCUUUGAAUACUUCUGCAACUGCUUUUUUGCAUGGUUAUACAACUAGCUCCCAGUUAUCUUAAAACAGAACAAACAGUAUAGUCAAGUAUCUGUAUGUCUGCAGCAGUUAAUAACAGAGCCAUUCUUCUUCUUCCCCCUCUCCUCCUCCUGCCCCCCUCCCAAAAAAAAAAAAAAAUUAUAUAUAUAUAUAUAUAUAUAUAUAAAAUUUAGUGGUAAGUGGUCUAGAAGUAAACUGCAGCGCCAAUUCUCAGCAGGCGUACGGAUGCCUAGUGUAUCCCCCUUGUAGUGAACAGAAAGCUGCUAUGAAUUGAAGUUGUCUGCACGAUGACCUUUAUAUCUAGGCUUUUUCCAUAAUUGAAAGAUGCCACAGAGUUGAAUUUAAAUCUUGAUAGGAACGAUAAAACAGAAAAUUUCUCAGCAACAUGCAGUUAAUACAAAUGUUGAGGCACAACCAGAGUUGAUGCACAUAGAUUUACAAGACCCCGCUGGUAGUAAAGAGAAGAACUUCAGAGAAGGCCAUUUGGGUGAUUUGUCAUUUCAUUUCCCGGUAUAACCCACCAAGAGGCAACGAUAAGAGACAAAAAUAUUACCAUACACAAAAGAAUUUGAAGAAAUUUAAAAAUCAACAAAAGUACACAUUGAAAGGAAUGUCAGAAGAACAUCAGCAUGUAAAUGAUGAUAUUGGUGAGGACACAGGCAACAGUUACUUCAUUACCUUAGCAAUACCAGAUUUUCCAAAAUUUACAGCAGCGAUAAUCCUUAAAAGAACACAAGCGCUGAUUGUCAAAGGGCGCAUCAAUUUCCAAAUAGCAGUCACCACAAAGCUCAAAAAGACCAACACCAGCAAGUAUACUGUAUGUAACUAUCUUCAUAUAUUCUCUAACAUACUUCAUAGGAGCAACUAUAGUCAUCCCACCCAUUUACUGUUCUUUAAGAAGUCACAACAGUGCAGCAUCAGUAGUUUCAAAUAACUCACCACCCAUCCAGCUUACAAAUAAGAAAAGUAGCUCAUGAAAUAUGUGAUUUCUACGUAAAUAAGCAUACAAUGAUAUAUCUGCGAUUUCUAUGCAAAUAAGCAUACAAUGAUAUAUCUGAAGCCUCAUUAAAAGCAUAUACUUAUGAUUCUGAUGAUAGCGAAAUUGCAACAUUAUUCACAUUGCCAAAAUUACAUCAUCCCCAUCAAAAUGCCAGACAACUAAAUACAUAUUACACAACCAUGAAACACCAUAACCAUCCAUCUAGUGUCAAAAAUUUUAGCAUUAAGCAACUACCUAUGAGUAUGAAUUGCAUCCAAAGAGUAAUGUCAGAAAACACCAGUGAGACGCCCAUAAGCCCAGGAAGUAGCUGCUCCAUGACACAUUUAGAGGUUCAGUUAUCGCAAGUUUGCAGCCUCAACCCAAUCAGUGCUGUGACCAUUGUAUAUUCUUCAAAUCUAUCCCAGCCUUCACCAUCUCAUAAAGAGGGCUCAUUUCCCUUAACUUCUCAACCUGCAUUACAGUUAGCUCCACAGCCCUGUCAAUCUCUUCCUCCGUAGUGAACCUCCCAAUCCCAUACCUAAUAGACGUAUGUGCCAUGUCCUCGUCCACACCCAAUGCCCUCAAUACAUAGGAGGGCUCCAAGCUCGCACUAGUGCAAGCGCUACCACUCGACACGGCGACCUCCUUCAACCCCAUCAACAAGCUUUCCCCCUCAACAUAAGCAAACGACAAGUUCAAAUUGCCUGCAUACCUCCUCUCCACGCUACCAUUCACUACCACCCCAUCAAUCUUAUCCCUAAUUCCAUUCAACAACCUCUCUUGCAAAGCCUUAAUCCUCUUGUCAUCAUACUCCAUUUCCUUCUUAGCGAUGUCACAAGCAGCCCCAAAGCCCACAACCAAGGGAGUUGGCACAGUUCCACUCCUUAUCCCUCUCUCUUGCCCGCCCCCAUUCAUUUGAGGCUCCACGCGGAUCCUCGGUCUGCGCCUCAUGUACAAAGCCCCAAUUCCCUUAGGCCCAUAAAUCUUAUGCCCGCUCAAAGACAUCAAACUGACAUUCAUCUUAUCGACGUCUAUGGGAAUUUUCCCCAAAGCCUGGGCAGCAUCGGUAUGAAACGGAACAUUAAAUUCCUUACAGAUUUUCCCAAUUUCCUCGACAGGUUGAAUCACUCCAAUCUCAUUAUUAACCAUCAUAACCGAAACUAACCCCGUGUCGGGCCGUAUCGCGGCCCGAAGCUUAUCCAGAUCAACGAGCCCGUCAGGUUCAACAGGAAGAUAAGUUACCUCAAAACCCUCUUGCUGGAGGUGACGGCAGGAGUCCAAGACGCACUUGUGCUCCGUCUGGGUAGUGAUGACGUGGCGCUUCUUAUCCUUAUAAAAAUGCAAAACUCCCUUGACGGAGAUGUUAUUGGACUCGGUGGCGCCGGAGGUGAAAAUGAUCUCCUUAGGGGAGGCGCUAAUUAGGUCUGCCACGUGGGUACGGGCAGACUCGACGGCCUGGUCGGAUUCCCAGCCGUAGAGGUGGGUCCGGGAAUGAGGGUUGCCGAAGCGGGAGAGAUAGUAAGGGAGCAUGGCGUCGAGGACUCGAGGGUCCACCGGCGAGGUAGCUUGCAUGUCGAGGUAGAGGGGUCUUCCGGAGAUUUUUACGCCUUUCACCGUAAUUCCUGAUGUGUCUUCUUGAUAGGGUUCAGCAACGGCGGCAGCAGCGGUGGAGAAGGGGCGGAGGAUUGUGGGUUUUAAGAUCGUGCGGCGGAGGGCGGUGGUUAAAAGCUUCGACGGCAUCGUUUCGAUGUAGGCUUGUGGAACGCUCACCUCAGACAGCUGUGUAAUGAGUCUGACUGCGAGGUCCUGCGCCAAAUUUGUGGGUGGGAGCUUCGACCUUUUAUUUUGAAGGUGUUGAAAUUAAAUCAGAAAAAAAAUAAAAAAAAAGGGUUUAUCUUUAUCAAGGAAGGGAGGGAGGAGAUAGAAUGGCGGCGUUGUGAAAGAAGCCUAUGUGGUACUACUGGAUCACCGCCUCACCGACGAUGCGAUGCGAUGCCUUUACAUUCUCACUAUAGUAGGCAUUAUAUUGAGCAUUGACUCAAGGAAAUAACAAUAAAAUCGUUCGUAAUGGAGUACGGCACAAGCGUCGUCGUAUUGGGCUACAACGACAGCGUUAAAGCAAAUACCCACCAGAGAAUUAAUAAUAAUAAUAUUAAUUGUAAGGCUGUCAAAAGACAACAGAUACUUUACAGUUUACUUUACGCCUCCUGGGUUUCGUCCGCAGAUCCAAUCUAAAAUCGGGGGAUUGAAUUUGAGGGAGAAGCCAAAGAAAACCAAAGAAUAAAAACAACAACAAACCUCUUUAGAAAGUGUUGUUGAACCUUUCUUAAUGCCUACCUGACACCCACCACCAUUGUUAACAACGAACCACUGGUAAACCUUUCCUUCAUAUUGAUUGGCAAUACAUACGAGUGGUAGAUCCUUUUGCAUUAUUCUCCUUUCCCUUUAAACCUAAUCAUUCAUUCAUUCUUUUCAGUGGCCUUAGUAGUAGUAGUUAUUUAAAAGGAGACAACUUUCGCACCAACAACAAGCCUUUUGCUUCUUCUUUCUUUUAGUAUAGGACCAGGUAUGGCUUGCCUUUUCCUUAGAGAUCUCGUCUUUUUUUUUUUUUUUUUUCAAUUCAUUUUUGGCGUUGGAAAGUUUGCACGAUCAUGGGGGGUCUUGACUCUAUAUUUAUCUAGCGUUAAAUGUACGUGUUUGCUAUUUAGUUGAAUGCAGAUCGAUAUCAAUAUAGUAUCCUAUCCGGGAUGUGAUCAUAGCUAUACGCAUUGCUUCGAAUCAAUUGUUUCUUGUAUACAUCGCUCCGGCCUUGGUUCAAACUGGUAUAACAGUUAAAAUGAUAUGAUAGUUAUUUCUUGGUCGAAGUCUUUCCAGCUGAGCUGCUAUCUAUGUGUUUCCAAAUAGAUAGUCUGGACUCUGGAGACGCCGGAUUAUUUUCUUAUGAAGGAAAUGGAUUCACGCUCCUGUUUUGUUCUUUGUAGCUUAUUUUUCAAUAAUUGGGUCGGUCGGAUAUGGGGUGUGAUUUGUCUGUUCUUUGGUGGCUGCGUGCUUUGAUAACCAGCAUGAUAGUUCAGACCCAAUUUGUGUGAGUUGAAGUUACCAUCUGCGUUGCGGGCUCUGAUCUGCGGUGUUCCUAAGAGAAACAAUUAUGCUAGUUGAGUUUCUAUGAGGUACCUCUGUUCGUUAAGUUUUUAACUUGCCUCAACGAUUGAUGAUUACAGCCUGAAUGUGCGUAAUUGCAUUCUGGUGCUACUUAGAUCCGCAUAUACCCAAGUUGGAUCCUCUGUUAAUUGUCACUCUCUUCACUAUAUCUGGAGUUGUUAGUGAUUAUAGAUAUCAGACUUUCUUAAGAAAAAAAUAAUAAUAAUAAAAGACAUCGGACUGCAGCGGGAGAAUGUGGUUGCCGUGAUCUGUUGGCCUCUCGCACUUGCCAUACGAAACUCCAUUUCUUUUUGAGCAUCAGAGUGAUUGUCAUAGCCAUUUGCGACAUGUUACUUGGAUGGUGUUUAAUUCACUUAAUUUCAGAGGUUUUUGAGCAUCUAAUCCAAGCCUGAUUUCUUAUGUUCUGAAUGUUUACCAUAAUUCUCCUUAAAAUUAACAGUAAUUCUUUCUUUUGUAGAAGUUAAAAGAGUUGGGACAGCUUGUAGCUUCUGGAAGCUGCUUCAACUGAAGAUAUAGUACAACAAUAAAAUCACAAUGUUCAGGCUGUCACCUCGGAGGAAUCAGAGAAAUAAAGGUUUUAAGGUGAAGCAUGCCCUGCAGAUAUGUGUGCUAGUUGGUGUUUGCAUCUGGCUGCUUUAUCAGGUCCAGCACUCCCGUAGCAAAAAGGCAUCAUAUGGAGAAAGCUCAAACAUUUUGGAGAAGGUACAAAAAUUUGGGAGAAAAGACAUCCAACCAAAAAAUAUUGAAAUGAUAACAGAGGAUGAGAAUCAAAAGGAGGAACGAGAAGAAGCCAGUAAACUACUUGAAGAUGAACUCAAGCCCGGGGAAAAUGAUCAUGAUCGAGACAAACUGGGAGAGGAAGGAGAAAAGGAGACAGAAAGUACAGAGCAAGAAGUGAAAGAUGAAGAGAAUGGAGAGAACAAAGAUGCAGAGGGUGAAGGGGGAAAUGAGAUGCAAAAUCAAGAGAAAGAGAAUGAUGGAAAUAAAAAUAACGGUGAGGAGGAGGAAACUAGAGAAGACGACCGGGGAAAGCAUGAUGAAGAGCAAAGUGGUGAGGAGACUGGAGAAAAUAAAGAAAAUGGUGGCGCAGAGAAGGAGAAUGAAACGAAGGAGGAGAACAAUGAGAAUGCUAAUGAAGACACACAAGAAAAUGGAGCUGAGCAGAAAGGUAAUGAGGAAAAGGAUGCAAAAGAAGAGAAUGGGGAAAAUGAAGAGACCAGGGAAAAUAAGAAUGACCUGGAUGGAGGUGAAGAGCAGGAAGUGAAGGAGCAGGUUAACGAUGAGAGCAAGGCAACAGAAAAGGAAGAGAAGAAACAAAUAGGCAAUGAAGAUCAAGGUAGAGAGAAACAGGAAGACCAUGAAGUGAAGGAACAAAAAGAAGGUAAAUCUGAGGAAUCACCAGAUGAGAAAGUUCAUCAAGCAAAUGAGCAGACAAACGAAGCUGCUGCACGGGAAAACACCAAUGGUUGGAAUGCCCAGAGUGAAGACGUUCAGGAUUCUCAAAGUAUGAAAGACACUGAGAAAGUAAAUAAGGAAAACGUAAAUGGGGAAGAACAGUCGACUGAGAAGGUCCAGGACAAGUCUGAAGGCAACAGUGAAAAUGUGACAGGGGCAAAUAAGGUACACGAUAAUGAAUCAGGUUCAAGUGCAAAAGAAGGUGAGUCAAAUGAACAGAACAGUCCAUCAACUGUUGCGACUGAUGAAGGCAAUGACAGUGAAAACACACAGCAGGGAUCAGCUCACGAUUCCAAUUCUGCAGAAGGAAGGAGGGAAGCUAAUCAAGAACAAGGCAACGGCAAUGAGACAACACAGCAGGAAUCAGGGGAAUCUUCCAAUCCUACAGAAGGAACACAUGAAGCUAAUGAAAAGCAAGGCAAUGCCAAUGAAUCCACGCAGCAAGGAUCAUGGGAUAACUCCAAUCCCACAGAAGGAACAAAGGAAGCUAAUCAACAGCAGAGCAUUAGCGACAAUUCUAAGGCUGAUGCUGAUCAAAACCAGAGAAAUGCUGUUGGUGAUGUCCUUCCUGGGGGAGAUGGUGCGCAGUCUACUCAAGAGGAGCAAACCGAGAACAAGGAUGCUGCAACAAACAAUGACAAAUCCGAUACAAGUUCAAAUAUGAAGGAGGGCUCAGCAUAUGGAGAAGGUUCAAAUGAUGUGGGUAAUAGACAAAAUGCUGGUAGCGAUACUGUUGGGGGUAAAGAGAAAAGUUCAGAAAAUUCAUCAGCCAAUCAGGUUAAUGAAAAGGUCGAGAUCCAGAAGUCUGAUGCUCAUUCUGAAACAGGACCGGAAGAAAAGAUUAACCCUUCAAAUGACAAUGACAAUACUGAUUCCAGUGAAAAUAGAUCAGUAGAUUCUUCUGGUUCCUCGAGUGCUACUAAAGAGGAGGCAUCUUCAAACUCAAAUGAGAAUGCUGACGCUGAGCAGAAUAGCAUGGUUGACUCAUCAAGUUCUACAAUUCCCCAAGAAGAGAAAGAGGCUCGCACUGACCUUGAAACUUUGCCUGAGAUGGGAAAUGAGGGAACUAGUCAAGAAGAUGCAGUCGCUUAGUGAUGCUACAUAUUAGCCUUUUGUGAACUUUGAAGCUUUUGUUGCAUUCUUUGCUUCCUUUCAUGGUUAUUGCCAGAACAAUUGUGGAAGUAUGUACACUUCGUUUGAUGACGUUGAUGCUGGUCAUUUGUUGUGGACCAGAACCAGGAAAUGCAAGUAAUGAAAUGAACUAAAAUGCAAUGAAUCAAUAGACUGCAAAAGUCUGAGCAACUCAAACGAACAACUCCAUAUUCAUUGAUAAGCUUCAGUAAAGGAUUACAGAAGCAGAAUGGCGGGAAAGAACAUAAGGGGAAAGAGAUUGAAGGAAACCGUGGGGAGGGGGAAAACGCAGAGAGGAUAUUCCUUCUCUGAUUACAAUAUCAAAUUUGCAAAAGGUUCCCUAACAAUUACAUGAUCCUCACGGUUUAUACAACUGCCAUUCUAACUGAUUUUCAAGUGAACAAAUGAGCUUCCAACACGUGUCCAACAGAAUCUUCUAGCUGAACUGGUCCCCAACUGGCUGAAUCAACGUGAACCCAGUAAAGGCGUGCUCUUCUACUCACGCCUUCUUGUCUCUCAGCUACUUCACGCCUUCCCAAUGUUUCCUUCCUACUCCUGCAUCCGCUGCCGCUGACAUCAUUACAUCAUUCGGCCAAAAAAUUUGUAGCCAACGUCAUUGUUAUUAACAGCCUUGAUCGUGUAAUACUACGGAACUGCGUUGCUCAUGUUAUUAGUACUAAUGCAUUGUCCUCAUUAGCCUACCCAAGCUUUCGUUGUAGGUUCUUUGCUUGCUAAUUUGUACUUCGCACUCGUCGACAAAAAUUGAUCCAAGCUUACAUUUGCUCAUCUCCUGGCCGUGCUCUACAAGAAUCGCUUAUGGGUUUUGUGCAGUCGCGUACAUUUCCAGGUUACUAUCCUGACUAUUCAAGUUCUUCCUUUUCUUUUCAUCUUGGACCGCUAACUGCUUCGAUUUGAAGCGUCCAUACAUUUAGACUAUAUUUCUUUCGGAAACCUUUUUUUUUUUUUCGCAACGAUAACAUUUAUAUAAUCUACUCUAAUCUAAUCUAAAAAGAAGGAGAGUCUAAUCGACGAAAAAACCCAUCAAGGGACACCACUUGAAAGUGACAACCAUAGUUAAGUGACAAGCAUAUUUGUUCGGGAACUUAGGGAGGAGAAAGCAGGCAAACACAGCUUUUUUUUUUCUUUUUCCGUUGGGCAAAUAGCUUAAUAAGUUGUACGUUUUCAACACUAACAGUCCCUACCAUUGCUCAAGUUCUGAAAGCCACUUUAAUCAACCACGGCUAAACAAGGCAUCUAGACUCGUUUGAGUAAGAACAUAUAAUCCGUCCCUCUCCCUUCCCCCUCUCCCAACGAAACCCCGCUUUCUUUUGCCAGUCUUGUGGCGGCAGGGGGGCACAAAAUUCUGCGCCCAGUUAUAUGCAAGGCCAGCAACUCCCCCCUACCCACCCACCCACCCAACCAAAAGAGGAAAAAAAGAAAGGGCAUGUGCCAGAUGAAUUGCAUCCAAAACCAAAACCCAACAUGUAUCCCAGUGAAGCAUGAUGGCAACAAUAUCGUCAAAUUUAUUUGAAUAGAGCAGAUUGCAAGAAACAAAAUAAAAAAAAAUGAAACACGAAAUUUGAAAGCAUGCCAAAAGAAAACAUCUGCUCGUUUCAAAACGUAACUAAAAUAACACAGCCCGUUAUAAUGUCCAAGAUAAUUUUGACAAUACAGCCUCCAAUGAUGCCAAAGCAAAGAUGAACAACCAUUAUUCGACUCCUUCAGAUUACGAUCAUCAGACAUCAGUGGUGCUUCUCCUCAAAAAGACCAUCUGGACCUACAAUCAUGCAUAACGUGUCAAAUUUAGUUAAAGUGUAUCUCAGCAAUUAGUAGUUAAAAUGUGUUCACCCAUCUUUCUACUAAACAACUAGCUUAAGAAAUCUAAUCUGAUCUAUGCUGUACAUGACAGUGUAUAAAAUAACUUCCUAGGCUUGCUAAAUCCUCUGUUGUGCUUCUCCCCAUUUCAAUAAAUGGAGGAAAGUUUCAGUGGUUAAACUUAAAGAAUAAAACAGGGAUAGUUACAAUAACAGGGUUGAGAAAAAGCACAAGCAUAAACUGGAUAAUACGGCCCAAAUAACUAAGCUACAAUAUAUGCAUUACAUAAAUCUCCCCAAGCAUCUAAAACCUCACUAGACCAAGCAUAUGUUCUCCUGAUCAUGCUUGACCAAAAAGCACUAAGACAGCUACAGAAGAUGGAAGUUGAACCUCAAAAAAUAAAACUGAGAACUGCUAUAGCGGUCCCCAGCUCUCUACAAUAUCUUUUGUGAAACCUUGUUAUUUACGUGAAGCAAUUAAGCCUUAAAUUCAUCCUACAACACAAUAACACUCAUGCAUUUUAGAGAAAAAAAAAAUUGCAAAGGCUAUUCCAGUACUGCAGCACAGUAAACUGUAAGCAUGUAUAAAAAUAACUGAGGAAGCACAUGUAGUGAUAUAUGAGAAGCAUUACUAGGAUUUAAUAUUGCACCAAUCCGAUUUCGAAUAGAAAAUACAAUUAAACUUCUAAUCUGAUCCACCUGGAAAAGCUUGUGCCAAUAAUAAAUAUACAUUUCAGUUGAAGAUUGAGUCCUCAUUGUGUUAUAGGGAUGAAAUGAUGUGCUUACAACUUUUAAGGAACAGCACUACUCAAUAUUCAGGGAAAUAUUUUCUUGAAAACUUCAGAAAUCAUUACAACAACUCCCCAAACCAAAUCACUAUUUGUAUCAAUGAACAAAUAAAUUCGGUUAGCUUUUGUUGGAUGAAAAAAUGAUCGAGGGGCGCCCCAAUUUAUACUAGUGACGCUGAGGCAUGGAAUGCAAGAGCCAAGUUGUUUGGUUUUCUUGAAUGAGGAGGAGGCUAUGGCAUCCAUUCAAACUUCAAACCAACGUGAGAAUUAGAAUUUUGCUAGAUGAAGGAAUUCAUGCGUAUGAACUGGCGAGGCUGGUUCUUGGCCUGGGAAAAUUAAGGUCAAGAGAUGAGAAAUUAAGAGAUUGCGAGUCCAAGUUGUGUAGCAUUAUUAUUCAUGGGUUUUACCAGAUGCCUGCGUUAUGGAAAAUCCUUAACCUCGUGACCGUGCAGCCUCUCUGAAGGCUGAAUAUUUGAAUUCAGCACUUGGACUCUUAUCGUCGCCACACCAAUUGGAAUUUUGUUUGUUAUAAUUGACAUCGUAAAUUCAUAUUUACAAACUGCUAAAAGUUUUUUCACUAUCUAAAAUUGUGUUUACUGAGAUUUCUUCGGCUGGUCAACUACGUACAAGUGUAGCUAUUCAACUUGCCCACAUCAACAUCAAGCUCCUCAUACCUACACCGGACGGCAUCCACGACUUGUUAAUUAUAUUCCUUAGGAUCUAGCUGCUAUUGCCUAUUAGUCAAUAGUUCGGUAACUUCGUUAGGGAACAUCGUUCACAAGUCAAAGAAACAUUUUAAUGUAUCUCGAAAUUUAGAGUUCUUCUGACACUCUAUGGACUUAUUCACAAGAAUCUAUUAGAGUUCUUCUGCUCUUAACUUUUCUUUUCGGAUCUCUCAACUUUUGGGAGGCAUUAUGAGUGUUAACCGCUAAUUAAACCAUCCCAUGCAUGAUUGGCAAACUCAUCCUUGACGCCCAAGUUCUGCCAAACUCAUGCAUGACUUGUAUUUUUUAGUCGAGCGAUUCAGCCAAGGGGAGGGCUAAAUGUACAUUUUAAAUUGCAAUAAGGAUGACUCGUCUUAUUAGCAUCGAAACUUGCGCAAUGCGUAAACAUAGAAUGAAAAAACAUAAUAGCUUUAACAUCUUCUUUUUAACUUGAUUAUGAGACCUGAAGAAAGAAGGUAAAUUAAAGAGCUAGAAUGUGUGUAGUUUCGAUAUAAUUAUAAACUUUAUCUACUACUUUCUCUCACUCUCUAUGGGUUGGGUACUGCUGGCUGGGACGUGCCCAUUUCAAGUACAAACGUCCAACAACCAACUAUUCUUAAAGUAGCUGACUGCUGCGUUCUAAAGACUCUAUUCGAUAUAGGUCAAAAGAUUGAAUUUCUUGACCAGCAUUCUAAAAAUUCAGAACUUGCUAGAAUGUUUCGCUGGUGGGUGCGUAGGCAUUCAUCAGGACUAAUAAUGAUUUAAUCCCCUUGAAUUCUCUCCCGUUGGGUCAUUCCCCUUCUCAUAGUAUGAAAUAGAAAUAGGCUCCUUGUUACAGUAUAAAAUAUGAAUAGGUCUAUUGUAUCUAGGAAAAAAAAAAAAAAAGGGGUAUGAACGUCCAGCAGAGGGACUCAUGCAAGUAAUUUCAUCAGUCCAACAUAUAUAUUUCUCUCGUGGAUGUAGCCAUCGGAUCGUAAUCUCAGUCAUGUAUCGUUCCAGAAAAUCUCAACAAAGCAAUAGCGACUCUUCAGAUUUUGAAUUUAGAAAUGUACUCAGUCCGUCGUCCGCCUUGGGAAUUAUCAAGCUCAUCUGGACUUUUCUUGUUUAGCAUGUACGGUGAAUCUAGCCAAAAAUGUGACCUUUCUUGUCCUAACUCCUAACAUUUCAGGUUUCUUCAUCCUCAGACACGCGGUGGCUUCCAAUGCGAAUAGCGACCCUACCAUACUAAGAUUCUAUUCAUUUUCUAUGGGAAUUGAAAUUUCACCUCCCGCAAAAAAAUUCAAGAGUGAUAUCAAAAUAUUCUUUUGAUCUAAUAAAGUCUAUAUACCUGUUAAUCCCUUAACACAAAUCUCUUUAGGUUUCUACUCUCCUCUAAAUUAAGAUAGAAUAGAUUAUACAAUUAUUGUUGUCGAAAAAAAAAAGAGAUAAAAUACUAGAAUUCGAAUUCUAAGAACAUAAAAAAAAAUUGUUUUUGGGGGAAAGAACAUAAAGAUUAACCAUAAAUUUUGCUUACAUCUUUUAACUAAAAUUAUGUCCUUGUACAUUUCUUUAUGAAUAUCAAAAGAAAUAAUAUUGAUAAUAAUGAAAAUUCAAAGGAUGUUCCUACAUUGCCUCGGAGUGUCUGUCAUACGUUAAGAAACUUGAGAAAUCUCGGAAAAUAUACAAAUUCAUAAACCAAAAAAAAAAUGAAAAAAUAUCGAAAGAUAAGAAAUGAUUAGAUGUCCAACUUUUGCGAGCAAGUGCUAGCAUAAAAAUUGUGUAUAUAUGGUGGAAAUUUGUGGAUUCCUCCCGACAUCAGCUUCGUCACAUUCAGCCUAAUUAUCCAGAUUCUUCCUCCAUCGCUUGAUGGCAUCGCCAGGAAUUGAGUUGAUGAUAACUGAAAUCAAUAAUAUAUACAAAAAUUUUAGCCGCUAAACACUCUCUGCAUGUACAACGAAUUCACAUGCAUGCAUUGAAGUGUUAUUAUUAUCUAAUCUCAUAAUUGAAAAUUUUAUUUACAAUGACUACAAGAAUCCCACUUUCCAAGAACAAUUCUCAUUGAGUUAAAAAAAAAAAAGAAAAAAAAUUAAGGGAAAACAAUAGAAAAGCCGAUCGAUCGAUUGGGAGGUCAAUGAAUCCAGACACCCCCAUGGAACUGUGGCAGGCAAUCACGCCUUGAUAGAGUGCAUGUUCAUUUGACUCUCCUUAGUAGUAGUAGCAUUAGAAUUAUUUUUCUGAUCGUGUCGAAACUCGAACCAACAAUCUCCAUCAGGUGGUGGAGGAUCAGGAUCGCCCAAAUAAUCCUCCGGAAAACCAAGCGACUCCAUCACAUCUUCCCCGCUCCACCCCCACGCAACAACCUCUUAGACAAUACCUUCACGUGCCAGACGAUCCCUUCCUUAUCAAUCAACGCAGCGUUCUUAUCAAAGCCAUUUCGUCCGGUGCAGUGAUCAUCAUCGGUCUCAUCACAGCCGUCCAUCAUCAUCAUCUCCCUUACAUCCUCUUCUUUCCACCCUCCGUUCCUCAAUCUCCAAAACACCUCCUCCAAGCACCCCCCUAACUCCCCACUCCACCACCUGCGCGUGCCACCACGCGCCGCCAGCCUUUCCCCCUCUCCACCAACUCCGACCAUACCUCGAUCCUCCUCGGCUCAGUCGCGGCCCAGGCCGGCGUGCUGAAUAAUUUGGACAAGGUGGGCCUUCUCAAGAUGUCCUCGUUCGUCGUGAAUUCCGCCUGCUGGAAGAAUCCGGCUAUAUCGAAACUCCACAGCUGAACAUUCCCUCCAUGCACGUAAAACACGGGAUUCCCCGCCAUACACGGCGUCGAAGGAACGUAGAAAUGCCGGUACACCGGAACAAGAAACGGCGCAUUUCUCAUGAAUCCUUUACCUAAAUUCACAGCUUGAUCAUCAUCUCCUGGCCUUUCACCCCAAGAAUCGAGCCACAAAUGGUUUCUUGAUAUUUCCUUGCAUACACCUGAGACGGGUAGACUGGUGAGGGCCUGAAGUUGUUGAACGGAGGAGGAUGAUCGCCAGUUGGGGAAGCGGGGCCCACAGGGAGGCCUUCUUGGAGAAUAGAACGUAAAUCGGGGGGAAAUGUGAAAUUGAAGGUGGAUUCAAUGGAGGAUAAUUCGGCGUCGGUGAGGCCUUCUUCAAUGGGAAUAUCGGAGGAUUUUAGGUAAUGAAUGAGGUUCUUGGUGUAGGCUGCAAAUGAAAAACAAACCCGCAUGGUUUUGGAUCGGUGACCGCCAUGGUUAAUGGGCUCAGCGGUGGUUCGACGAGUAGUGCUGCUGCCAUUGAAUACGAGUACUUGGGCUAAUAUUGAUUGACAACAACAACAACAACAGUUGCAGAUAACACGUGUUAUGGAGUAGAUAAUGCAUAUGGAAGCAAGCCAGUAAUGGUAAUUCAGAUUUGAGUUUCGUGUUUAUCCACACUGGCAGGCCGGGAUAGAGUAGUUAGAGCAUAUAAGGGAGGAAAAAGUGAGUGAGUUUUUACGGGAACUUUUGAUGCUCUAUUCUCACAACUCCUCUCAUCUGAUGUCGGGACUCUUGAGACUAUUUCAAAGUAACAAUGAACUGAAGCGAUUUGUUUUGGAAUUUUGAGGGCACAAAAAUGCAAAAUGGGGUCUCUGACUAAUCAUGGAAUUGAUACGUGAAGUCUUUGCUAACUUGGCAUGGUUGUAAUGCACAGUCCAAAUGUCACUUCUUCCUGAUGAUCCAAUAUUUUGUAGGAGAUUUGGAGUCUGGCUGAAGUGCUGAACCAUGCGUUGUCAAUCAAGUUGGGGUUCUCAAUUGUUCUUUCACAUAUUUCCUUGCUUAUGGUCAGAGAUGCGGCUUUACUAAUCAGUACGAGGGCGGCCGGCAGCCUAAUUCAGAUUUAUAAGAAGAAAUUUUGUGCUAGUAGUUUAUAUCGGGAAAUCAAAAGGUUCAGAAAAUUCUAGCCGUCCAACCAAUAGUAGGCUUAGUCGCUACAGAGAAAUAUCAGGAAUUGUUAAUUGGUAUCAGGUAAGCAACUAAUUUAUAGAAAAUGUAGUUGGCUUAUGAGAAAUUUUCAGUUGCAUAAAAAAAUCAACCUUAACAACAAGACAUUUGUUAUUUGUUUCACCAGCUGUUAUAAUACAAAUGUUCAAAUUUUAGGCACCGACCGCCCUUCUCGAUCACCUUCCCCUUCGUCCGCCCUCUCCUUGCUGUGAGGGAUCAAGACCAUAUUAGUGGUGGCAUACUGCUUUAUAACGUAAUCUUUUAUAUUUGGAGGAAAUAGAGAUAAAAAAAAAUGUUAUCAAGGAGAAUUGAUGCAAGUGCUUCUAUAUAUUUAUGCAGUCGUCGAUUAACUUAGAAGUAGCACCUAUUCUUGCGCAUUUCGUCAUUUAGCUUCACUUUGAAUAAGAAAAAUGAAAAGGCAGUCGAUAUUAAUUUGUUACAAUUCAAAUCUGAAUGCCAUGAGCAUUCCUACACCAUCCAUCUCCUCAAUUUUUUACUACUAUAUUUAACUUGACUUUAGAAACAUUUUAUGGUAAAUUACUGUGACGUUAGAACUUGAACUUUGAGAAUAGCACCAGCCAAAUAAAAGUCGUCCGAGACAUCUCAGCUUCUAUCACAUUUAUAAUUUCCUUCCAUCCAAAUGAAGAGAAUUUUCUUGUCAUCUGCUCCUUGUUGGAAUUACUAUGGAAGCAACUCAGAAUUGGAGAAAAGGAAUUCGCCUAAAAGGUUCCUAACCACCAUAAUCUUGUCGAUAGCUUGUCUAUUGCUUUGACCGUUUCUCCUCCUUCUUCUUCUUCUUCGUAUCCCCUUUUGCGCGACACGUUAUUUCUGAAAUUGGGAGUCUGUUUCUUUCUUUCUAGAUAAAUUGAGGACCGUGUUGAUAAUUACGUUUUGGCAAUCCUGAUACUUAACCUAUACAUAGAACCAUUUAUGUGCUCUUACUUUUCUAACAUUCUAUACAGAUCUCUUAAAGAGCCUGGAACACGGCUUUUUGACGAAUGACUCGAUGCUUGGGAUUUUUUUUAGGACACGGUGGAAUCUAUUUUAGACAUGCUCCUACUUUAUACUAGAGGGAAGGAAGGACCCGAAGAGAUCCGCUAGGACACGAUGGAAUCUAUUUUAGAUAUACUCCUACUUCAUACUAGAGGGAAGGAAGGACCUAAAGAUAUCCAAGAAGAACUUGGAGGGGACUAAUUACCGGCUCAAAUGGGUAUCUUCUCCGUUUGACAUGCGGCUGUGUUUACACGGAUGCUUACCUUCACAAGAUCGAGUUGCUAAUAAGGCACAAAACAUACAGGUUAAAUUUAAACUCAAUUCUAUCAGUAGUUCUUCAAAUGGAUGCAAAAUUUUCGCACAAGUAUGUCCAACAUUGUCAAAUUUCAAGGACCUUUCACUGGUCAAGCAUUAUCUUCUGCCCCCGAGCUCUUGUCAUUCUCCGGUUCUUGUUUUUUCAUCAUCAACUAAUUCAGCUUCCACAGUUUGAACAACCGAUCCAUCCUCUUUGUUCCCAAAGUUCCAGCCAACGACAGCUUUGCUUUCCUGUUCUAGAAUAUUCAUGUUGUUAUGGGAUAUUUGAGCUGUAAAAUCCAGCAAAUCUUUUCCACAUUCUUCAGGGGAGGUAGUUGAUGUCCAGAGCAAAUUUGCAUUACAGGUCAUCUCCACAAAGUUUCCAGAAGAAUUACUUUCUCCAGUCCUAUAAACAUUCUGAGAUGAAUUUGUAAAAGAAGUGGAGCCCCCGUGUCAUAAUUCUUCAACUCAGGCUUGAUGGAAGCCUUGCUAAUUAGGACUGCAGAAUGAUGAUCGGAAAUGGUGUCGCAUAAUCCGCUGCUACAUGGAAUCUCAAGACUGCCACUAGAAUUGAUGAAAGGAAUUUUAACCUUUCCAUCGUUUGUAUACUGCACAGAAGGCUCAUUUUCCACUUUUUUUAAAAUCACUUUCUCAUAGUGUAGUUUUUCAGUCUGACAAAGAGUUUCAAGUAGUCCAGACUUCCUAUUCCAAAUUCGAGGGCAUGAAGUAUCUGUUGAUGGCAACCUUCCAUCUGGGGUUACCAGUUUCUCCAGCCUUCCUCUCUUUGAAGUCUUUGCACCUGAAGAAACCCCAGUUGCAGUAGUUGUUCCCUCUUUUACAACAGGUUUUAGGCACAAUACGUCUUCCUCAAGCUUUGUUAACCGGCCCUUACAAUCUGCCAGUUCAGAUUGCAACUCACCAACAAUCUUCCGUAGGUGAACAUUCUCCAAAGGCUGUUGCCCCAAACACCAAAGAGCAAAAGGAAAAAACAAACAAUGGCAUCAAGGUAACUUACACCACAGAGUAAAGAAUGGGCCACAAAGAAAUGUAUAUCCUAGUAUCUUACUUGAGCUUCCCAUGGUUGCUGGUGUAUCAGAGAGAGUUUUGCGGUUGGUCUCAUCGUACUUCCCUGGUUUGAUGUGGUGGAAGCCGAUGAAGAACCGGGUAUUGGUGGCUGAAUUGGAGAGAAAUAAGGACAGUGUCCAGGGAAGGCACUGCUAUGAGGAGGUAGUAGAUGUUGUGGAAGGCUCAACCAAGAUGAAGGAUCCCAAGGGCCUAUUAAAUAUUAACAAGUAAUAUCUUCUGCAUUAGUGGCACAUAUAGCACUACAUCAGAAUUAAUCAGCUAUGAAUGAUCAAAUUUAACUAUGUUUAUUCUUGAACUACUGUUAGAAUGUAUAUGGCAUAUUUGCAAAUAUGGCCGUUGAAAACAGCAAACAAUUAGUCAAAACACUCCUCAGUACUUCUUUGACACCUCAACAGACUUGAUCCCAAUACCACGACCUUCCAAGCCACAUUCUCUGGGUAAAUCAAAUUUGUUCUGGAGAACUUGUCAGAAACUUCCCACAAUGUCAAGCGUGAAACAGAUUGAUUGUGACAUUAUACCUGGAAAGCCUGGAUAUGGGUAGCCAACAUGGUAACAAUAGCUAGGACUCUGCUGCUGGCUUCUUAGAGUUGCUCCAUAACCAGGUCCGCCCCUAAUGCCAGGCGUUCCUGCAGGAGGAGGGACAGGCUGAUAGAGAGCUGGCAGACUGGCACCCGGCAAAUGUUGACCAGGGAGCAGGGGAAUCCAGGAUGGCAUGUUGAGUUGUGUAAACGGGGGCAUUGGUUGUUCCUGUUGGAACUGCUGCAUAGUGCAAGUUUGUUGCUGAUUCUGCGGUUGAUGACACUGGCCUGGGAUGAGUGGUGGAGGCAACUGGUUGAGACUGCAGGAUUUUAGGAUCAAAGGGGACUUUUCACAAGCAGGUUGAGAUGAACAAGGAAAUUGGACCCCAUCUUCAGUAUGCUCCUUCGGGGAAGUUGCAUUUUCAAAGUGAAGAGCCGCCGACCGCUGUACUAUUAUUUUGAUUUUGAUGUUCAAUUAGCUGUUCAAGAAUGGAUUCAUUUAUCGGCGUAAAUAACACGAGGAAAUUAAGCAAUCAAGAGUACUAAUAAGUAGUUAUAUUCCUGUAGCAUUAAGGAUCUCAAUAAAAUUAAUUUCAAUGCCAUAAUGCAGGAGGACAGGCACAAAUCAAGUACUUUGACAGUGUCGAAAAAUGAUCUGCAAGAACUGCUGCUUGCUUGAAUAUUCUUUUAGAGGUAACCUUGAAGCACCAAAAGUAAGGGGAAUUGAUCAACUGGGAAAUUAGGGACCGGUACAAUUAUUUGCGGAGUAUUCUGGGGGAAAAAAAAUCAAAUCGGUCCUUCUAUCUCUCUCUCGUUAUCUGGGUACAACUCCCAACACAUGCAGCAAGAAACAAAACAUCAAGACGAAAAAAGAAAAAAGUGAAGAACCAAAAAAAACUUACUAAUGAUUUUUAAGUAUGUUGUGAAAAUAACGGGGAGCCCAGGAGUACUUUUUAGCAGGGAAACUUGCAUAUGAAAAAUCCACCAAAUAAUGGAGUGAGGAGAUGCAUUACCCGUUCUCCAUUGAACCACUAGCAUCUGGAGAGGUAGAGUUUUCAUGUUUUUUCUUUUUAUUCUUCUAAUUCAUGGUUUUUUGCAAAGUGAUUAUUUCUUUCCCUACAUUUUGAGAAAGGGGAGCAAAGGUAUAAGUAAAGAGGGAGUAGAGCAGUGGCCUCCGCCGGUAAAAGCCUGCCGUACAAGUGUACAACAACAAGAGAAGUGGUGCGUUGGAAUUUUAAGCCCCAAAGCCAGAAACAAGGAAAACGUGCGUGGUGCGGGAGCCGGGGAAUUUCUACUUUUGGAGCACCAUUUUCUAAUUUCUACUCCAUUGCCGCCCUGCCGCAAAUUUGUCCUCUGUCUGGUCCAUCACAGCCGUUUUUUUUUUUUUUUUUUUGGGUAAUAAAAGAUUGCAUAAAUAAAAAUUUUAAGUCCGUACAUCACAUAUUUGUUUGGGAUGGAAGGACCCCUUAAAUCACCACACAAAAUAGUUCGUAGCUGAGGAGGACAGUUAUGAUAAGAGUGAAAAAGUCGACAAAAAGAUUUCCAUCCUCAAAUCAUCACAGCCGUUGCAUUUUGCAUCAUUUUGACCUUUCUUCCUCAGCUCAACUGCACGAAGAACGAAUGAGCAUUGUAUUUGACGAUAGCCAUCUUAUUUUACCGGUUAAAGAGUCAAAGAACAAAAAAUAAUAAUAAUAUAAUAAUAAAAGACAGAGCAAGGCAAACACUUGUCGAGUUUUAAAGGUGUUGAAGGCUUGUUUGGGGAGUUAUUAGUGUCAAAAGCUCUUAUUAUUAUUCAGUACUAAUACACAAAGGAUGGUCCUCGAUCUUGGUUUUAAAAUUUCUCAUACAAAUUCUAUUAAUCUUUUUUCUUGUGCACCAAUUUUAAAAGUAUCUGUUGGUGUACAUUAUUACCUUACUCUUGGAAGCCCAUGCGCAUAAAAAAAAAAAAAAUUUUUUUUUUUGGAGCUCAGGCGUUCAACAGUAUCCUCGAAAGAAUUGAUUGUAUAAGAUCAGUAUUUUUGGAGUAGUACUUACGUAGACGAGAUAUAACCAGCAGAGCAGAGAAGAAACCAAAUAAAUAAGAUAAAGAAAUGAUAUAUAUAUAUAUAUAUAUAUGCAGAUAACGUUUCAGUAAUAGAAGGAUUUGAUUUAUUAAACGAUCACAAGAAAAAUUAACGUUAGAGAGUGAAAAUAUCAAGGCAACUAACGAGGUUGAUAAUUCCAUGUGCACUAGAUUCAUGAUUCUCGCAAGACAUAUUGGAAAAGGACGAGAGGGCACUGAUCGAUCGAUCGAGGAUGUUAAAUAGAAGCUAGCAAUUCCGAAAGAGAAGGCCUAUAAUGAUGAGAAGCGUCUGUCAAAUGAGCAAGGACGACUUGCCACCAUAUCAAAAUCAGAAAGGCUUUGAACGUACGCAGGCAGUAGGAGGCAAGUCAUCCUUGUUGGCGAUGAAACCAGAGUCUCCUCCCCAUUUUAGGCCAAUCAGAGUCUUUCUACACAAAAUGUUGAUCCAAUUAAGCCAGAAGAAGUACGUCUAUUUUCUGAACGCAAUUGAUCGAAUUGCUCAAUAUUCAAGACUGUACCUGAGGAGGCGAUUUUUGGUUGGUAACUAGACCGACCUGGAUCAGUCCUCUCUGAGAUGAAGUGAGGUGAACUCCUGUGUCCGAAGUGAACCUCCUUGUCCGAAGUGAGUGGCGGGGCUUCUCCCCUGGUAUCACUCCGACGAUCAAGUUAGUAUGAGAACGAGAAUAAUGAGAAUGAGUUAAUGAACAGUGUAUGCUUACUUGUUGGGAGUGUGAGUGAGGUAUUUAUAGAAGAGAGGUGGUCAAGACGGAAGGCUCAUGCUAGCGGGACCCACUCUCUGGCAUUACGGCUCUGUCUCCUGUCAGGAGGUCUGACUCUGACACUGUAGCCGCCUGGGAGUGAUGACGGAGGAUAUGGUGCAGGUGCCAUUAAGUGCCUCCAGUGCUUUUCAGAUAAAGUGCUGGUCCUGGAUGAUGUCAGGUGGGUUGACAUCAUCAGCGUGCAGCCGAGGUGGAUGUGCCGAGGUCACCUACACGGUGGACUAGGGAUGAAGCCGAGCUCUGGGGUUGUGCUCAAGACAGGGAUGAGCUCCGGUGAGGGACGAGACUUGUGUUCACCUCGGACACCCGCGUGUCCGAGGUGAGCAUCCUCAAUAAGCCCCCCAAGCCUCGGGAGCUUCGGGCCAGGGAGGUACCGAGGCUUCCUUCUGCCGAAGUCGUGAAGAGUCGGUGUCCCGAGCCUACUCCGGAAGGUGCGGGGACGUGACACGUGGGCAUGUCAGUUGAAGGGACCUGGAGAGUGAGUCGGCACGUAACCGUCACGUCGUGAAGUAGUGGGACGUUUCGUGCAGAGAGUGUCAGUUACAACGAGGACUCCAAGGAGUUGUGCGACCGGAUGGCUGAAGGCCUCCAAACUGGAAGGAACCUGGCCGAGGUCCUGGCCGAGUUCAACAAAUGGCUGUCCGAACUCGACGAAGUGUUCGAGGAGGUUGAAGAGGAAGAAACUGGAAGAGAGGAUGCCGAGGGAGACGAAGCCGGAGGGGGCGAAGUCGGAGGGGACGUCGUGCAAAGAGCCUGGAGAUGAAGUUCACCCCGGCGGAAAGGAGACCGAAGAGAAAGAUGCCCAGGAGGGAGCCAAGACCGGGAUUGGAGCCGAUACGGGGAUGUAGGCUCGUAGGCUUUAAAGGGGUGGCCGAGGUGAAAAGUGUUUAGUAGCACUCUGACCUCGGCCUUGUAUUUUUUGUAACACUUCUGUUGAAUGAAAGUCUAUUUCUUCUCAUCUCAGCUCUUUAAUUUCUUGCUUUGCUUUGACUUCAUCCCUUGCUUGUCCCCCUUAUUUUUUGAUAGCGUAAUAACCCUAUUGUUCUCAAGUCGUUAGCCGAGGUGGUAAAACGGGCAGAUACCACCUUGAUUUAUAAUGGGCCGAGGUGGCCCUUCGGGAGGUGCCACUGAGUAAGGUCGAGGUGGCCUUGCGGGAGGUGCCGCUGAUUAAGGCCUAAGUGGCCCUGCGGGAGGUGCCACUGAUUAAGGCGAGGUGGCCCUUCGGGAGGUGCCACUGCACUGAGGAAGGGCCUGCCACUGAGUAAGGCCGAGGUGGCCCUUCGGGAGGUGCCACUGAGGAAGGUCGAGAUGGCCCUUCGGGAGGUGCCACUGAGUAAGGUCUAAGUGGCCCCACUGAUUAAGGCCGAGGUGGCCCUUCGGGAGGUGCCACUGAGGAAGGUCGAGGUGGCCCUCGGGAGGUGCCGCUGAGGAAGGCCGAGGUGGCUCUUCGGGAGGUGCCACUGAGGAAGGCCUGCCACUGAGUAAGGCCUAAGUGGCCCUGCGGGAGGUGCGCUGAGAAGGCCGAGGUGGCCCUUCGGGAGGUGCCACUGAGGAAGGUCGAGGUGGCCCUUCGGGAGGUGCCACUGAGUAAGGCCUAAGUGGCCCUGCGGAGGUGCCACUGAUUAAGGCCGAGGUGGCCCUGCGGGAGGUGCCGCUGAGGAAGGCCGAGGUGGCCCUGCGGCUCAGCUCGGCUGACUGAAUUUUUCCUCAGAACCAAGUCUCCAGGCUGGAAUUGAGCGGUGUCAGCUCAGCGUCCGAGAGUGGACGAUCUUCCUUUCACUAUUCGAUCGAAAACACUCCGGCGGUCCCGGAGUUGGGUUGAAGUGCCACUUGGGCCGAGUUCACCUCGGCCGGUGUCUCCUCCGUGGAUCUGGCCCCGUACGAGAUGCUUGGGCUUCUCGCUUCAUGCGGUUCACAUCCUCACUUCGGAUUCCCUGGUCCACUCUAUCCCAGAGUUCCCGAAGUGUACGGGGGUACUCCCGAUGGAUUUCAGUGUUGAAGAUUCCGCACCAAUCCGUUGGUAAAGGCCGCGAGAGUUACCUGCUCAUUCUGAUCAGGUAUUUGCACAUUCUCCUCGUUGAACCUUUGAGCAUACGAGCGAAGAGACUCGCCCUGACCCUGUUGAAGGUUCAAGAGAUAAGCUGAAGUUUUCGUGAUUGAUCGAGACGACACGAAGCGGUGGAUGAACCGAUCUAUCAGCUCAUCCAGGGAGGAAAUGCUCCCCGGUUCCAAACUCCAGAACCACUUCCGGGCAGUCCCAUGUAGGAAAAUGGGGAAAGCUCGGCAGAUCACAGCGUCGGGACGCAGCAGUAGAGCCGGAAUGCAGAGAUGAAGGCGCGGAGAUGAUCCUCGGGGUCACUUCGGCCGUCAUAGGUGGGCAAGUUUGGAAGCUUGAAGUUCGGGGGUACCAUCUCCCCAUUGAUGUCAUCAGUAAAGGGCGGAGCCCUCAUGUAGUCAGAAGCUAGGCCCCGGGCGCCGAGGUGGGUCCUCAGCUCGUUUCCCCAGCAGUCCCCGAGAAAACGUCCGGGAGAUGGAGGCAAGUUUAGACGUCGCCUUGGAGGAGGCGCGCCUGGAGGUACUUCGAGAGAGUCGCCCCUCAUCUGAGUCUUCACCUGAAGGUACCUCAGGGGACUUCGUCGGCCUCCUCUUGGAGGACUCGGCCUUUUCUUUCCCCUGUCUUUUGAGGUACCUUCCUAGCUCCUCAAAAAUGGUAGGGUUGUGUGAUACGAACUCGGCCAUCUUGGCGAUGGCCUCCUCGUUGUUAGGCUGGGUCCUCGGGGACCCUUGCUCUUCAGAGAUGCGAUCUUGCUGGGCUCCGAGGUCUGCCCAGCCCCAGUUGAGGGAACUCGACCACUUCUGGAGCGCGUGGAUCUCAUUUUAGUAACAGUAGUCUCGUUCCCACAGACGGCGCCAAUUGAGGAGGCGAUUUUUGGUUGGUAACUAGACCGACCUGGAUCAGUCCUCUCUGAGAUGAAGUGAGGUGAACUCCUGUGUCCGAAGUGAACCUCCUUGUCCGAAGUGAGUGGCGGGGCUUCUCCCCUGGUAUCACUCCGACGAUCAAGUUAGUAUGAGAACGAGAAUAAUGAGAAUGAGUUAAUGAACAGUGUAUGCUUACUUGUUGGGAGUGUGAGUGAGGUAUUUAUAGAAGAGAGGUGGUCAAGACGGAAGGCUCAUGCUAGCGGACCCACUCUCUGGCAUUACGGCUCUGUCUCCUGUCAGGAGGUCUGACUCUGACACUGUAGCCGCCUGGGAGUGAUGACGGAGGAUAUGGUGCAGGUGCCAUUAAGUGCCUCCAGUGCUUUUCAGAUAAAGUGCUGGUCCUGGAUGAUGUCAGGUGGGUUGACAUCAUCAGCGUGCAGCCGAGGUGGAUGUGCCGAGGUCACCUACACGGUGGACUAGGGAUGAAGCCGAGCUCUGGGGUUGUGCUCAAGACAGGGAAUGAGCUCCGGUGAGGGACGAGACUUGUGUUCACCUCGGACACCCGCGUGUCCGAGGUGAGCAUCCUCAGUACCCUAAGAAGAAGACAAUAAAAAAAAAAUGCAGGGCUUACGUGAAGCACAAGAGACAUAAAUUAACUAGUGGAGUGCUACGUAACUUGAAGCUGCAUGCCAAGCUACAGGUGAAGAGAGUGCUGCUUCAUGUGAGACCUCCCUUUCAAAUGGGAUUCCAUGAAAUUUUCUUGUGCUUCGAUGAUGAUCAGUUCAUUACAAGUUAAUAUAUAUAUAGAGCUACAGAUCGAAAGGAAGGUGGGGGUCGACGAUCUCGCAGUUUGAGCUCCCCUAACCGAGAUUUUCCUCAAUAAUUAUUAUCCAAUGAAAGAAUAUAUUCUACCUGUGCUACAGGAGAGGAGAGUAGGGGCCCCGACUUAUCUUCUUCAGUCUUCAUCUCUUACAACUUGAUACGAUGGAGAACAGAAUUUCAACGUAAAGAUGCCCUUCGAUCACUUUCUUGCCUCUGCUGCUCUCGUGAAACUUAGAUGUUGGCAACUUGCCCGGAAUCAAUUUCCCUACAAAUCAAAUGCUUAACAGAUUUGUUUCCCCCCCCCCCUUUUUUUUGUUGGAUUAAAGAGGAAAGUAAACGUUAUAAAGAGGAGUACAUAGUAACGCCACUGACACAACAUCUGCUAGGCGACUUAGAGUCAACAUUAAAAUUGUAAUCAACUCCCCAAUGUGCUAAGAAUCAGCACAAUCAAUCAACUCCCCAAGUGUUUUUACAAUAACAUCCCUAAAAAAAAUAUAUAUAUAUAUAUAUAUAUCCCCGAGUGCCAACUUUCACAUUUGAGUGACAUUUUUUCUUAAUAAGAAGAAAAACUACACUGAUAAUCAUAUGUAAAUUAUUUGCAAAUUCAAACUGAAAUUUCUUACGCCAAAAAAUUUAAAAAAAAACACUGAAAAUGCAGAAAUUUGUUAAUAGUAUACAUUCAUGUGAGUCUUGACAACAUUGCGUGUUAAUAUUAUCCAGAUUUUGGCUUUCAGAUAAUUUGUUCGUUUUUUUUUGUCAAAAAUAAAGAACAAAAGAAGGAAAAAGCAAAAUGUUAAUCAGUUUGUUCUCAUUUGCUAUAGUUAAAAGAUUAGACAACUGUUGUGGUUUUGGCGCGGUUGGUUCGAACUUUUCUUUCUUUCUCUUUUUUUUUUUUUUCUUUUGCAUUAAAUUGAAAAACAAACUUUUUUUUUUUCUUUCUAUAAGGGCCUUGCUGUAUGUUGUACACGAAAUUAAGGAACUAAAUUACUAGUAUUACUCAGUUUGUUUCGUUUAUCCUUAGUUGAGAUAUUCCUAGAUAGCAAAGUGAGGAGUAUUUUCAGUUGGAAAUCUAAAUUUUUUUUAACCCUCCCUACACCCUUUCCAUCCUUGCCACUACUACAGCUACCCAAAAUAUGAUCGAUCUUCUGAUCGAGAACACCAUUUCUUAUCAAGAUCGUUCUGAGUUCCCUUGGUCUUCCUUGUACCAUUCUAAGAUGCAUCUACAUAUAUCUUAAUGUAUAAUUAGCAACAGCCUUCAAGACUUCAAUGGCUGAGUUGACAAAAGAUUGAAAGCUUGCUGCUUUUGUUGCCCUGCUGGUCUUCUAAGCUGGCCAGAAAGGGUGUCUUGACAAAAUCAUCAAGAAGCCAGAAAAAAGUUCGUCAUCCCUUGGCAUAGCACCUCAUAAAUUAGUACACAAUGUCUGAAUUUUCUUCAGGCCUUAGGAGAGGAGUACUAAAAGCCAACCAAAAAGUCAUAAAUUUAACCGAUGGUUACUUGAUUCCUCGUCAGACUUACACAAGAGCAAUAGACGCUUAUUGAUUUUCUCCGGGAAAACAGAUCACAUGUUUUUCAUGUUAUUCGAUUUGGAAUGAUAUUCCAUUAAGUCAGAGUUUGAGUCUUGCUGAUCAAAAUCGUCGACUAAGGUAUUUUUAAGGUUAUGGACAAGAAAAAAUACAGGCUAGUUUUUGCUUUGAUGUUGUAGAACUAAACUUGUACACUAGUUUUUCUUCAAGAAAGCCAAUGAGAUUAAAAUGGCACUGCCUUUAGAGAGAGUAACUAAGUACCAGGUUUCAGCAUUGUCAAGGAGUGAUGUACUGUUGUGACUAGAGCAUAUUUGUCUCUUUAGAGAAUAACAAGGAUUAAUUCCAUUUUGCAUCCUUCAACUAUACCCAAAUUCUUUAAAAAAAAAAAAAAAGCCUAUACCCGAAUUCUUACUUUGAUACCUGAACUUCAAAUGGAAUGCUUUAGUCUCUAAAGUAUAAAAUUUGUCACAUUUUAGUUCAAAAGAAGAAAACCUAUCCUAUUUUAUUUCUUUAAAUACAAAGUCAGUCCACUUUAGUUUCUUAAAUUAUAAAAUCUAUACAAUUAAAUAUAAAAUUUGUUCCAUUUCUCUCAACGAUUUUGCUUAAGUGGGACAAAUUUUAUGUUUUAGCGAUCAAGUUUUUAAUUUUAAAAUUUAGGGAUCGAUGUGUACAUCUCAUUACUUGAGAGGUGGAAAGUGAAAUUAACCCAAAAAAAUAACGAUGCAAUCAUCAUCUGGCAAGUUGGUCGUGAGUACGUGACGUAGCGUUCAUAUAAAUAUGGUAACCUGAUUACAGCUAGUUCAGGAAGUCGCCCCAAAAAGAAAAGAUGAACAAAUUAAUGAGCAUGUAUUUGAUAACUACAAGAAUCUGAUCCAAAGCGCAAAACAAAAUUACAGGUAGAGAAUGAAAACUUCCAUAUUUUAACUCAGCGCUCGAGAACUUUAUAUUCAUCGUUAAAGAAAAAACUUUAUAUUCAUCUAUCCAAAACCUAUAACAUCAAUGGAUUCUUUUUCUCUUAGUCCAGGAGGGGAUUACCGAAUCGGCUUGAUGGAGGGUGCCAGGUAGUAAAAAUUCUGAAAGAGAAUGCCAAGAAUGACGAGGAAAGCCUGUCAAGUAGCCGGACGACUCGCCUGCAAAUCCAUUAAUGAAGAAUUUACACUUGUACAUGGAUGGAUCUUGAAGGAUGAAGAGGCAAGCCAUCCUUGGCUACGAAACAGGACUCUCAGCCCCAUUCCAGGCAUUUCUUUCUAUAAAAUGUUAACCUCGAAUUAUAUCGAAAAGGUAUACAAGUGCACUCUUGACUGAUAACGAUCCCCGAUAACUCAACGGAAAAGGGGUCUUGCGUGAAGAAAAAGAGACAUAUUAGUCAAGUGGCCGCCAAGGCCAAACAGCACGAGGCUUCUUCACGUAAGACCUCACUUUGGAAUUAUUGAGUUGGUCUUUUUCUUGUAUAUAUGCUGAUGAUCGUCUGUUUCAAGUGUCUAUUUAUAGCGACAGAAAAUGAAAGAUGAGAGGCUUCGGAAUUAGAUGAUGCGCAAGUUAGAGCUAGCUUGCUUCCCUAGCAAAGUAACUUUCUUCACUAUUAUUUUCGUGAAAGAAUAAAUUCUCUUCCUGUUUCAGGGGUGCAGAGGACCCCAACUUAUCUAGUACCUCAUGUUCGUACAGCUGAAAGAUGAUAGGAGAGCUAGCCGAAUUUCAACGUAAAAGUCCCAUUAAUUCGCACGUUUUGUUGGCAACUUGCACCGAAUCAUUGCAAUAAGUGCAAUGAAUUUCCUUUUCCAUAUCUGGUCAAUGUUCAGUAGAAUCAUUGCAAUUAGCGCAUGGCUUGAAACCUGGGACCUCUUCAAAACCCGAGCAGCCAAAUAAGAGCCGGGGGGGGGAGGGGGGGUGGGUUUUUUUGGUGUAACUUUUCUUCCUUCGGCUAGUUCACUAAGUAAUGUGUAGGAUCAAACCAUGAUAUUAUCUGCUGUCAAAUUCCCAGUCACCCAGUUAUAUAACUUCUCAAUGUCCUGGACAUAUUACUGGCACUUGCAAAGUCACACUAAAGCCUUUCUACCCAAGAAAAAGAAAACUAAAGCUUUUCUUUUUCUUUUCGCUUUUUCCACUAAAGUUCAUGUUAAGGAAGAAUUUCAGUUGAAGGAAGAAAAUUCAGCAAAGCAGUAGCGUUAACUCGGAUGGCAAAGUCGUUCAUUUUUUAUUAUUUCGGUGAAAUGUCAGUCAUUUGUGAACUUUUGGAGUUUGGACUUUUUUUUUUUUUUUUUGGUAAAUAAAGAUGCAUUAAAAAUAAAAUCAAGUCAACAGAGUGCAAAUUAAGGUACAGUCAUCCGUGGGAGGAAACCCCCUUUAAGUCUUGCAAAAGUAAGGGAAGUACAAAAUUAGGACAUAAUUCAAAAAAAGUGAAGUCUUGAGUGUUGCUUCUUCCCCAGUUGGCAAGGAUGUCUGCACAUUUGUUUGCUUCUCUAUAAUUAUGGUGAAAACAUACUUUCUGGAAUGUAGUCAAUAGCUCCCUGCAAUCAAGAAUAAUAGGUGCAAGUUCAUGAGAAAUAAGAUUAUUUGACUUACACAAGGAGAAUAUAAAGGCAGAGUCCAUCUCCACUUCGAGAGAGUGGAUGUUGAGAUUUUUCGCAAGUUGUAAGCCUUCUCUAAGAGCCCAACAUUCAGCAGAAGGAACUGAACAGAAGCCUAAAUUUCUUGCAAAGCCCGCAAUCCAUAUCCCAUUUGAGUCACGAAUUAUGCCACCAGCUCCUGCCUGGUUUGUUGGUCCAGAGACUGAACCAUCAGUAUUGAGCUUGGCGAAACCUAUAGCAGGGGGGGAUCCAUCUGAUGAAUUUUUCUUGUCUAGGGGAUCUGGAGAUAUGAGAACCAGGCCCUAGUAGGUAAAAUUCAUGAGCAUGGUGAAGACAAAACUUGAUAGGAUCAUCAAUUUUGUUUUUUUGAAAGAUCUUGGCAUUGCGAGCUUGCCAGAGGCUCCAACAACCAAAGCUAAAAAUGGUUCCCCAAGGAAUAAGGUUGAAAGGGGAAGGAAUGUUGGACGAGCAUCCAUCCUUGAUCCAGGAAUAGAAAUCCGAGCUGGUUUGGAGGGAGUUUUGGGAGGAUGGGUGAGUUUAAGCCAGAAGGAGGUUGCUUGGGGACAAGAUCUUAGUAUGUGAUUCGAAUCUUCAGAAGGAGCUUGACAAAAAGGGCAAGAGGCUUCGGAAAGAAUUGUGCGAUGUGUGAGAAGACUUUUUGAAGGGAGUCUAUCCUGGGAUGCUAGCCAAAGGAAAUGCUUGACUUUUGAGGAGUAUUAACUUUCCAAAUCCAGCGAAAAUGGGAUGGAGCUCUAGAAUCAACUGGAAAUAAGGGAGGAUUUUUGCAAAGGUUAUAAGCAGAUUUCGAGUUGAAAACCCCAUUGCUGGAGUAAUUCCACCUAAAGAAAUCAUGGGAUGGAUUGAGCUCUUGUCUUGGUGUACCCUUGAUCUCCUUCACGAGCUGGAGAGGAAGCUGGAAGGAUAUUCUAUCAAGGUUCCAACUGGUGGGGAGUGAAAAAGUUGAAAAACUCUUAAGUCCUCUUCCCCCUCAGUUAGAGGUCCUUGGAUCUGGCUUCUGAUAGAGCCUGAUUGAAGCCAUUUGUCUCCCCAAAAUCUGACUAAAUGCCCAUCUCUGAUAGACCAAAUUAAACCUUCAUUGAAGGUUUUGAUCCCAAUGUUGGAGUUUGGACUGUUGAAGCCUGUCGAUGCGGUUGGAUUUGCAACGUUGUGAGUUUGUUUGGACAAAGAUAAUUUGAUUUGCAAAAUUUAUUCUCACAAAUCCCAAUCACCUUUUUAUCUCACAUACAUCACAUCACAAAAAGUGCUACAGUAAAUAUCUCAAAUAAAUCAUCCAAAUAAACUCUUAUCCAAACAAACUCGUGCUUCUUUUUCUUUUUCUUUUUUCUUUACAUGCUUCGUUGAGAUUAUCAGAUAAAAUUCUCUUAAUUUGCUUUUUUAAUUAGCUGGGUUGACUUUAGAUUAGACUAUACCCAACUUUACCCAGUGGGUCUGAACGUUCACAUAAGUGCUGCUAUGCCUGCAGUCCUUUGCAUAAAUAAAACUGACAAUACGAAUCACGUCUGUUUUCUUUUCUCUCUGCCUGCUUUAUCACUGGAUUUUAUCCUAACUUUAGGUGGGCUUGAUUCGUAUUAGAUUGGAGCGAUAAUGAGAUGUAUUCGAUAUUCUGUACCAAUAAAGAAGGUUAUACUGCAACAAUAGACACCUCAGCUGAUCUCUCGUUUCUAUUUCCCUAAUUCAUGCUUCUAGACGUCGUUGACUAUGGGGGCAUCCUGUCCUGUCCUGUCCAGUUAGUUUCCGGUUAAACCUCUCUGAUUCUAGCUCAAUCUUCAUGCAUUAUUAUUAAGUACGAUUGCAGUUGGAGAAAGUUCUAUAACAAAUUCUCAGUCAUCAAGAUGAUUUUAACAAUUCACUUGAUAAAAUCAAGAAAAUUUUCUAAGAUUUUAGAUGGGGCAAAAUAGCGGCUGUAAAUGAAAUUACCAGAAGUCCUUCGGGUUAAAAAGCAUUAGCCAAAACUUGGGGCCGGCUGCUACCAACUCCUGCCGCAGUGGAUGUGUUUAUUUUGUGGUAACUGUCAGUUCUAGGAACGCUGGUCCGCGGGCCUUGCCUCAAAUGACUCCUUCAUAUUGUUUUGAGCCGUCAUCAAUAGUUUGAUUCGCCAACCAACCCAUUAAUUGGGAUCGUUCAUGCCUGAAUUCCAGACACCUCUAUGCCUGUCGACAUGCUUGCCAAGGUAGACGGAGAUGGAAUUCCUUCGAAGCACCGUAUCAAAGAGUGUGACAGCAUCAUGCAGAGACAGCCGCGCCGAAAAUGCGAGUGGAACAAAUACCCAGCUUUAGCACUACUACAUGCAUUUGUCUCGAUCAAAAGAGUAGAGAUUUUACAGCAAUCCAACUCUGGUACUGAAUCUUCUAGUAUUACAAUUUUCAGUGCUUCUAUCUACCUUUCUAAUUCACAGCGUACAGAAGUAGAGCUAGUCAACUUUUAGCACUUGCUACUGAAUAGUUUCUAGGACUUUUUAGACAUUGUCAAGCAUCUGCUUAGUGCUAUCCAGUUGGUAUUGGCACAGUCUAUACAUUCUAGAACAAUACCGAGGCCAGAUUCAAAACCGCAAUGAUUCUUCUUCUUCUUUUUUUUUUUUUUUUUCCUUUUUAGUGAUACACCAACACUGUAUGUGCUAUAUACUACAUUACUAAGAACGGGCCCUGGAUUUGUCUUUGAGCAAUUCUACCACUCUUCUCAUGGAGGGCCUGUUCAUUGGAAGAGAUGAAACGCACUGAAGGGCGACGUCUAAGACCACCCUAAUCUCUUCAAGCUCAGAUGUUGAUGGUUUCAACCUUGCAUCUACAAGGUGAUCCAAAUAGUCAGCACAAAUUUUGGCACUAUCGUUGGCUAUUGGUUGUUCUGCAGAUGACAAUGCCACCUCCAUUACCCACUGUACGAUAUCUUUAUUCUCCCAAAAGAGGGAUCGAUUGGCCGUUUACCAGUAAUCAGUUCCAACAGAACCACACCAAAGCUGUAUACAUCACUCUUCUCUGUGAUCUUCAGAGUGUAUGCAUAUUCUGCAGAAACAAGAAGACAGCAAAAGCAUGUUAGUUAGCCACCAUGGCUUCAGACUCAAAAGAUAAUCACAUCAGGGAAAGAACAUUUUAAAUUUGAGAGAAUUAAUAUCACGAUUACAUUAAUCGCAAUCUAGCAUUAAUUUCUAACAAUCUCCUUAAUAACUAAUAUGCACCCGAGGGCAAAGAUGAAGUAUGUCUACUUGAUGUGUUCCUUUUCCUUUCAUUCCAAGCACAAGUAAACCUAAAAACAGCUUGAAACCUAUAAUCAGAGUAUAUAACUGGUCUUGCUCCCUUCAGUAGAAGUUCAUGUCCAGCGAAGGAAAGCUAAUAACAAAAAAUGGCAUUCGAUAAAUAUAGUUCAACAUACAUUUUUAUAAUAAAUAAAAAAUGGCUUUUAACCCAGUCACUCUAACUGGUUGGAGUUGAAGCCUUCAAGACAAAAGAAAGGAGGUUUGAGAUAAACACACCAAAUAAAACUUGACUAAACCCCGGUCAAACUAAGCUCAGUGUCGCUACUAAUUCAACUAAAAUCAACUUUCUUUCAGCAAGAAUUGGUUCAAAGCCAAUUCAUAUCUUCCACUUCAAAACAAUGGGCUAAAGUUGCUAGAAUAAGACUAUCUUCCCACCAAUCUUAGUCAUAGACUAGUUCCCUCAUGCGAUUUUCCAACUGGAGCAAUUGUUUAUGUGUAAUCACGAUUACGGGUGAAUAGAGAAUUUUUAAUCUUUGUUUUUGUAUUAUACAAUUGUAUCUUACUAUUUGUUGUCCUUGGAACAGAAACUAGAUAUCUCCAAGCUCCUGUGUCUCUUUUUUUGGUCUUGCAGUCAAAUUCGCUUUUGGCCACAGACAAGUACAUGCAAUGAUUUGAAGCGAUGUCGCAACAAAGACAAAGUGACAAAACCAUCCGUAAACAUGAGGCAACUCUCAAUUCCAAUCAAAUGGAGAACUCAAAGCCUAAAACUAGUCAAAUUAAGAACUGAGAGCCUAACACCAUAUGCCGCUUGCUUGCUGGAACAAAAUCAAGAAUAGCCAUCCCCACUCUACACCCAUAAUACCCUAAUAAAAACAUAAUUGCUGCAGGGGAAACUAAAAAGAAUUACAUUAAGCCAAAUCUAUCAUAUUAAUGAAUGAAACAAUUGAUAAUUACUACAAAUAAAAGGCCAUAAUAUAGACAGAAAAGUUAUGCCUCACCUGGAGCAAUAUAGCCGUAGGAGCCAGCAAUCUGAGACAUGAGUUGGCCGCCCUCCUCCAUAUUUUUAUGCAGAGUUUUUGCCAAACCAAAAUCAGCGACCUUUGGCCUGAAUUCCUCAUCCAACAAUAAUGUUGUUAGACUUCACAUCCCUAUGAACAAUUGCGGGUACGCAAUCAUGGUGCAAAUAGGCCAGUCCUUGAGCAGCCCCAAUUGCAAUCUUGAACCUCGUAUGCCAAUCCAACAAUACCCCACCUUUCUCUCCGUGUAGUACAUCCCCAAGCUCCCAUUCUCCAUGUAAUCGUACACUAAUAUCCUAAAGUUGUCUCCAGAGCAACUGAACAACAACUUCACUAUGCAACCAUGCUUGAUUCUGCCCAAAGUCUCCACCUCUGAUUGGAACACCUCUUCAGAUUCUGGUCCACGUUAGCAUCCCAGAGUCUCUUGACUGCGACUGUCGGCCCGUUCUUCAACAUGACACGAUAAACUUGGCCCGACCCGCCUGUUGCAAUGAGAUUAUCUUGACUCAGAAAGGCAACAAUAUCUUCCUCGUUGAACCACAGUCGCUGAAAUGCAGUCAUUUUCCAUGAUUUUUUGCCCCGACCUGCAAAUAAAUUUAGCUUCUUUGACUUGAUCAAUAGCCAUAGAAAUGAUACGACGAGUAUUCCUGACAAGGCUGAUAAAAUUCCCACCAAAACCAAGCUUAUGGGUCUUCUUUUCUGGCAUGAAGGGAGAGGUUUAAGAUCAGGACUGCACAAAUCCGAAUUGCCCACUAAGCUUGAAAUGAAAAUUUCAUUGUCGAAUGCACUAGGUACUCUGCCCUGAAGCCUAUUAUUUGAUAAAUUGAACAUAUUGAGCUUGAGUUUUGACAAAUCCGAGGAAUCUCACCAGAAAGUAAAUUCUCGGAAAGAUCUAAGUAUGUCAAAUCAGGCAACUCCCCGAGCUCAGCUGGAAUUGUACCAGAAAAUUGAUUGCCAGAUAAGUUCAAUUCUGUUAAAUCAGUCCAAGUGGUAACAGAGGUCGGGAUUUCACCUGUGAUUGAGUUUUCUUGGACAUCAAGCUUGAGUAACUUGUUCAAUUUGGUAUGCACGAGGGCAGUUUGCCUGAGAACCGGUUGCUGCUAAUGUCUAUAAUUUGAAGCUGUUCCAACUCGCAUAUUCCCUCCGGCAACUGCCAGAAAAGCUGUUGCCCGAUAUCAAAAAUCCUGUUAGAUUACGGGCAUUUGAAACCGUAGGAGGAAUUUCACCCUCUAGUCUAUUGUUUCGGAGUUCAAAAAUCGUAAGCCCAGGAAAACUCCAGAAACUAGGAGGUACAACUCCAGACAGCUCAUUACUGAAAUCCGGACGUACGUUAACGAACUGCACUCACCAUACGACUCAGGGAUUGGACCAGAAAAGUUAUUGUUAAACAAAACUAAUCUGUCUAGCUGCUUCUUGAAACAAAGAUUUGGAGGCAAAGGCCCUUCUAGAAAAUUCCCAGAUACAUCAAAAUCUUCCAAGCCUGAAUUCCUUCCCAAAUUAACCGGUAAAUUGCCGGAUAAUCUGUUAUUAAAGAGCUUGAGCUGAUAAAGAUAAGGAUUUAGAGCUAAAUUUUCUGGGAUUUGGCCUUCCAAAUUGUUGUCAUUGAGAUUGAAGGAUUGCAGAGCUAAACCGGUUAGACUUUCUGGUAUUCUUCCGGUGAGAUUGUUCGAUGAAGCAUCGAAAUUAUAUAAGAAGUCAGGUUCGAAAAUGUAUCUGGAAUUUCACCGGAGAGUUGGUUUGAAUAGAGCUCUAUCUGUUCGACAGCAAUUAGUCCUCCGAUACUUUCUGGGAUCUUUCCAGUGAGGUUGUUGACGGAGAGGUCGAGGUUUUUAAGAGAUUUGAGGUUUCCAAUUGAGUCUGGGAUUGAACCAAUUAUAUUUGAAAAUGGAAACCAGAGAUUUUCGAGUUUGGUGAGGCGGCCUAUGUCGGCCGGAAGUGGGCUUGGGCCGAAAUUGUUGGCAGCGAUUUCUAGACGAGUUAACUCGGUGAGAUUGGUUAAGAAAUCCGGGAUAGACCCGUUGAGUAAGUUGGAGAGAAGACGGAGAGACCUGAAGGUUGGGUAAGCGGGAACCGUAACUCGCCGGAAUCUCACCGGAGAAAUUGUUACUGACAGGUCGAAGGUGGUGAGGUUGAGGAACUGAGUUUGAAGCUCCGGCAGCCCGCCAACGAACAAGUUGGAGGACAGAUUGAGGAAUUGCAGGUGGGAGCAGAGAGUGAGCGCUUCAGGUGAGAGGGUUCCGUUGAAGUUGUUAUCGGAAAGGUCCAGAAAGCGGAGAGUCUGAAUCCGGCAAAAGUCCGCCGGAAAAUAGCCUGAGAUGCUGAGCUGGUGAGAUUAACGGAAACGACAUCGUUAGUUUGGUUGUCACAACCAAUGCCAGUCCAGUUGCAGGGAGCAUUGGGUGCGGACUGCUGCCAAUCAGCGAGAAGACCACUGGGGUCUUGCAGUUCAUUGGCCUUGACUCGAAGCAAAACGACGACGUCCCUGUUCGAUGAACUGGUACCAGGAAUUAUCAGAGCAAUGCAGAAAAGCAGUUUGAUGAGAUAGAGAUAGAGGGGCAGAGGUCUGCAGUAAAGCAAAAGCACAUAGUACCGGCCAUUUUCUUCUGUUAAUUAAACUACCACCCCGCAAACCGCAACUACUAGAAUGUAUAAUGCAAUCUAUCUAAAGAAAAUUGAGUUUGAGGAAAUGAUGGGCUAAUUCGAUGAUGAAAUCGUGAAAAUGAGAAUUAUUCAUGAUUUGUAUUUAGCCAUUGGAUUUGAAAGACAGCAGCAGGCAACUGGCAAGUAGUGCAUGGCCAUGGACAGAGUAACAGUGCAGGCAGAUUGGGAGAACCGCUGGAAGGGGGUGGAGGUAGCGUGAGCUAAUUAGUCUACUCAUUCUUGACUUAGGAUUCUUAAUUUAUGGUGAAUCUUGAUAGACUAAGGUCAAAAUAUCUUGAUAGACUACAUCGAUACUUUGUAUUCUGUUCACAUGUGAAGGGCUGGUCAUAGAUGGCAUUUAGUGUACUAAAAAUUUCCAUGUGGAGAUGAGAAAGUUAGCAAUAAUAUGAUAAAAUCGACAAUGAUUGUCAAAGUAGUUUCCAACGAGUCGACUCCCGUCGAAUUUUCAUUUAAUUGAAUUGAGUCUCGGUUUCAUUUUAUCAAAUUCGAUUAGAAUUUAGUGUAAAACUUGAGCUCGACGUCAAAUUUGCUUGAACUAGUUUGCAGGAUUCACAAUAAUUAUCUUUUUUUUUUUGGAAGCAAAUGAUUGUCAAAGAUUGGUGGGAGUGAAUUAGGCGGAUUAAAACUGAAAGGUAAGGAAGUGAAUUUUUCCAGAAACUCACUAUUCAUUAUUUGGUCAUAGACGGAAGAUUGAUGGUUUUAUAUGCUUUUGUAGAUAGUGUAGAACAUAAGAGGGGCAUACCAAAGAGGGAAUACCAUAUUACUUGUUUGGGGUGGAUAUUAACCACUGAGCCAACCUCAGUGGCCACCAAAGUGGGAAAAAAUCUCAUCUGUUUGGGUUAUAAGUGGGGUUCAAAUCACACCUGCAAUUAAAAAAAAUCAAAAGUGGUGUCAAAUCACCCUUUUAGUCUAGUCUCUAACACAAGCCUAUUUAGAUUCUCCUGAAAAAAAAAAUUUAGGAUGGAUAUCAUUAUUAUAUUUAGAUCAUCCAUGAACCAUGGCUCCGUUUGAUAAAUGAGUAUUUGGAUAUUUGUCUAAAAUUUUACCUUCUUGUAGUAGUUGUAGGAAAAAUUUGUAAGAUGAAAUUUUUUUUUUUCAUUUUCUCUCUCUCCCUCUUCCCCCCUUCCCAUGCCACUAUCCCCCUUCCCCCGACGCGAUCUGAUCUCACGACCAGAUUGAGCAAAGGGGGAUAGAGAGGGAGAGGGGAGGAGGAAGAUAGUGGGGAGGAAGAGGGGUAGAGAUAGGUGGCAGAGGAGAGGAACGGAGAGGGUGAGAGAGGAGGAGAGGGGAGGGAUGAGAGGGAGGGAAGAGGAGAGAAAAAGAAAAAAAGGUGGUCGUCUGGCCGGCGUCAAAGGUGGUGGUCGGUUGAGGUGGAAGAAAGAAGAAAAAAAAAUUUUAUGUGUUUUGAAUAUUUUGAAUUGUAUAGUUUAAAAUUUUUGAGAAAUUUUUUGAGAUUAUUGUAAUUAAAAUUAUUAAAAAAUUGAUGUGAGACAAAUUUAGCAAAAACUCACUUUGCCAAUCAGGCCCGUAUUUCACCACGUAACGAUGAUGAUUUCCUUCUCAAUGAUUUACUUGUAUUAUCUUCUGUCUUAGAAAGUCUUAUCCUUUUGCUACUGGUUGGCUACCUUUCACAACCACUGUCGUUGUGCGUACAGGGAUUACUCGUGUAUUGAGUGUGAUGCCUUUGGAGUCUUCGCCCAUGCCUGAAAAACAAACGAGUAAAGCAGUCAAAAAGGUUCUCAAGAGGUCAUACAAUGCAGUUGGCCGAAAUUGGUGACCAAUAUAUAAAUGCAAGGGUCCAUCAUUUCUUUUCACUUGAUUUGUAUUUUUCUUCGGAGGGUCCAUCAACUCUAUGAUUUUUUUUUUCUGAGGUGCCUAUCAACUCAAUGAUCUCAAUUCAAGACAAAAGGAUAAGUUAACAAUAAUCGAAGACUCGGGGAUUUGAAGGUAUGCGAGUGUGGAAUUAUUCCAGAAGCAAAGAUAAUAAAUACAUGGCUAAUUAUUUUAGUGCGGAGGGUCAAAAAAAAUGAGUACCAAAAAAAUCUACAAGUUGGUGAAAGCAAAAGGGGUGCAAAUGGAUGUUGUUGCAAGCAAAAGGUGUUUGCAACCCUUAAUCAUGAGAUUUCGAAUUCAAAAUUUAUGAGAAUGAAAAGGAUAACGUUGAGAAAAUUUCUCCUGCAAGAGACUCGACUCGGGUCGAACAAAAUUAAUCACAGUACAUGAUUAAUACCUGUGAAUUAUAAAAAAAAAAAAAAAAAUCUACAAAUCCCAAUAGUAAGGGCGCGGCGAAUGGAAACUCAUUUUCUACAUUGCUGAAUUUAACACCAGUGUGGGACACUAAAUUCAUAGUCGAAUCUUUGACUGUGAGCUGUAAACUAUGAAGGACAGCUUCUAGGAAUUGAAUUGUGUUCGAAAUUUGGGAAAAAAGAUGUACAGUCGCUUCAAUUCGAAGCAAAGUAGUAGUCAGCAAGCAGCAGUCCAGCCACUAGUGGAAAAUCGUAUCGUAUUGUAUCACUUUUUCUCUGGGAAUGUUUACAUGAAAGAAUUGAUGCGUGCGCAAGGAUUGGAAUUUAUUAAGAUGGAAGAGACCGUGCGAAGGAAGCAUAGAAUAUAAAAGUUCGGCUUAGUUGGUUCUCGUUCUGUUUCUUUUUGGUAGUUGUGGGAUUCUUUUAGCAAGUUUCUGAGAUUCUAAGUGGAUUGGUUGGAUGCCGGUUCUAGAACUAAUAGAUUUACCCCUCAGUUUUAGUUAGAUAACUUGUACUCAGCCGAAUGUUCUUUCAAUGGGAAAAAAAAAAAAAAAAAAAAAAACAAUUCAGGUUUGAUAUUACUAGUAAAUUAAAAGUGCUUCGUAGCCUUGACCAGGGAAGAGCUAAUAGUGGCUCCCUCAUAGUAAAAUUUCUCUAAGCAACUCAAAUUUUGGUGUUUGGAGGCUUGGAAAGAAAUUUUCAACAGAUUACAGAAUAUGAUAGGACAUCCCUUAUAGAGUGGUACUAUAUAAAUUUUUUCUUGCCCUCUCGUUUAGAAAUAUGCAGAUGCUUAAGACGGUACUUUGCAGUCAAGAAACAAUAGAAAACAAUUAUAGUUAUAAUUGGCUUUAUUAAAACUAAGUAUUACUACUACUUUAUUUUGUUUUGCUGUCCUCGUGCUUUCCCAUUUUGCUUUUGCUUUUUCCCUUCUCUUCUUUAGCUCCGUCAAUGUUGUAGGGUCCCAUAAUUAUGGCUGUUCCAUAAUAGCGUACUCAGAAGUCAAAAUUCUGUUCAUACAAAUGGAAAUGCUAGGACCGCAAAUUUGAAAUUAAAAGGAUCAGCCAAUCACAAUUGCCAAGUGCCUCGAGGCUGGGGACUACUUGCUUGACGUUUUGUCAUGAUAGUAUAAAACUGAACCACUGAGCUUUUGGCUGUAAAACCACCGGGGUAAGGGCUCAGCGGUGAUCGGAGAGGGGCUUAAGUUCCUUUUUAGGUUAUAGGUAAAGGUUCAAAUUUCAAUUGUAGUGAAAAAAAUUUAAGGGUGUGUCAGAGCAUUUUCUUGAUUUAGUUGAGUCUAUAUACUCACUAGUCUCCUAUCACAGCCUCCGUAGGCUUCCCUUCUCCCCUAGAUUAGAAUAAAAAAAAAAAAAAAAAAAAGAGCUUUUGGCUGUAAGCGCCAAAACUGCUUUUGGUUGUAAGUCGGUUCGAACUUCACCGGCGGUGAAAAAAUAUACCUGUUAGUCUCUUAUACAAUCUCUUUAGGCUUUCCUUCUCUGUAAAAUAGAAUAGAUUAAAUUAUAUAAUGUUAUUGUUGCUAUAAAAACAUAAUAUAAAACUGUAUCCUUCAAAAAGUAUCAUGCAAAAGAAAGAUGAUGACAGUACAUGUCAUGCUCGUCUAUAGAUCAACAACUAAUUUUAACUUUUAUUAUUUUCUCUUUUUUUGGUUCCCCCCCCCCCCCCUUUUUUUUUUUUUCUAAUUACUAGUGACCAAUUUUAUAUCUGAGAUAGUGGUACAGAGUAAACUUUAAGGGUAUUGGCCUAGGAUUUUUCGAUGCCUAGCUUUCUAGCAGUACUCAGAGAUUUCAUUCACCGUAUGCCAGUGGAUAACUUCUCAGUCUCCAUUCAAGCAUGUAGUAUAUCUUGUUCUCUCCCUUUGUUUGACUUGAUUUAAAUUGAAACAAAAUUAUUAGGAAGUCCAAUUCAAAGACCAAUUAAUGCUUCGAUAACGUCGCCCGCUGAUGCUAACAUAUGUUCAGUUUCUGGAAAAUGAAUAGAGUACCCAGCUCCAAUAAACUAUUUGAAUGGCUGGUUGGUAAAUUUUCUUAAAUUCACCCUACGCCCGAAAGAGAUAUGCGCAGGGAGGAACGUUGUUUGGACUCGUACAACUUUCAAGCAGUCUUCUUCAACACUUGAGUCAGUACUGAAAUAUGACAAAGAAUAAUUGAAAUUCAAAAAGAUGACAAUAAUUAGAAAAGCGUAGAAUGAAUAAACUAAACUUGGUGCUCAUAUAUAUAUUUUUUUAAGUAGUUAAAGUAGAGAAUUUAGAGGACUUCUUGCCAAGUUUGCUUACUAAAACUUCACGGCCUUGGCCCGGACCAAAAUACAAGGGUCCAACGGGCUUGAAGCAUUGCUUUCCCCGAGAGAGGAGCAAGAACGGCCGCAGCAAGCAAUCGUGUAUGUACAAAGUUACAUCUUAUAUAUUUUGUACAAAAUCGGUUCGGACAGUUUUCAUGACAAUUGUUUGGCUCCCGUGUUCGGGAGACUCUGAUUGGCACUCAAAUUCGAGCAGCGAAGGAUUUCUGGAAUUUUUUUUAAAAUUUAUUUUAUGUGGCGGAAUGCACAAACUAACUGGGCCGGGGUGCAAGAGCCAAGAUGGAAUAUCACGAAUACUGGAGAUGGAUAGCUUCGGGUUUCUGUGUUCUGCGAGAAUUUGAUAAACAAAUUUAAGAAGAAGCUGUCUGCAGGGUGAGGAACGGACAAAGCAACUCAAAGUCAACGUCGCCGUGAAGCAAAAGUUGUUCUACUAAAAGAACCCGACCGACAAUCUUCCGCGUACUAAUUUUGCGCUUUUCAGCUCCGCCCCAACAAUAACAUGCGUUCUAAAUUCUAAUCUACUACUCCCAGUCCCAGUAGUGAUUGAUGCUCAGCACCAGUUUUUGUUAUCUUUCUAAACAUGGAUAGACCGUCCAAGUAACUCGAAAAACCUGAUCCUCUCUCUUGUAACGUAAUCAAUGGCUUCUUGAUGAAUUUACUGAUACUUUGAAGAAGCGUGGGAAUCUGUAUAUAUAUAAUGAGGAGUUUGAUCAAAUGUUCUUCAUUCGAAAAAACAUCAGGACUGACGUUCUUUCGAGUGUAUAAGAUGGUGCGGUUAGGCAAGAGAACACGUUCAGUUCAGAUGGUCAAAAGUGUUUGGUGCAGUGGGUGAAGGUAAAUCUUGAUUAGCACGAACUUCAAUAAUGAAAUGAUCAACCGCACCUGAUUCAUUUUUGUGUGUGAGGUGGUUUAGUUUGGAAUUCAAUUUGGAACCACACAGUAUCACACGCUUUUACGCUCAGCACUAGUCACCAUUAGAGGUGGUAUCGAGCCGAGUCGAGCUCGAGUAGCACCAUACUCGAGCUCGAGCUCGAUCAAAAUUUGUACUACUCGAGCUUGAUCGAGUAAAAAAAUUUGGACUCGAGCUCGACUCGAUGAAAUAAAACUAAACUCGAGCUCGACUUGUUUGAGCUCGAGUAAAUAUCAAGCCUGAGCUACUCGAGCUUGAGCUCGAGUUUUGAAAUAAACCUAUAAUUUUUUUUAAAAUAUAUAAUAUAAUAUAAAUAAAAUAUGAAAACUCGAUUAAGCUCGACGAGCACUCGAAUAUUUAUUUCUUGAGCUCGAACUCGACUCGUUAAAUUUAACGAGUAGCUCGAGCUCGAUUUUACCGAGCUCGAGUCAAGCUUUUGAUCAAGCUGCUCGCGAGCUACUUGAUCAAGCUGACUUGCUAGCACCCCUAGCCACCAUUACCAAACAAGAUGAUGAUGCAUCAGUUUUAUAACUCAUACGCGAUGAUCAUGGAUCUCCUAUAUUUGUGUUUGCAAAAGGAUUGGAAAUUUAAUAAUAGCAUCAAUGGAACAAAUGAUGGGUUAGGUCUGACGGCGAUUGGCGGGUGAGAGAAAGGGUUGGUCGUUCCUUGAACAAUUGUUUAAAAGGAUAUGUAUCAUCAGAUCUGAUUGAUGAGUCAUACUAAGACAAUUCGCGGUUCGGUUAAGUAUGAAUUUUUGCUAAUUUAGGGAUAAAAAAUUGAUCCGUCUUAAGAAUGAGUUUAUGGGCCAAUAAAUAAAAUGAAGGAUUUUUAUCUUCAAACCCCGUUGCAUUGGGGUGGGGCAGUGCAAGAGAAAUCAUACAGAAGAGAUCAAAUGCCCUUCUUUUGAUAGUUAGGAGUAGGAUUGUCUUCAUCUUCCAUCGUUAAACUCCGUUCUUGCUCUUACAAUCAUAUGAUUUUAUUAUCUAAUUUUGCAGAAUUCAAUACUGGUUUUAAAGUUUGCAAAAUUAUAAUUAAAUCAAUUCUGUAGAUGUAAGUACAUAAUAUAUAUAAACUAAGAGAUACUUUAUACUUCAUGAAUUUAGUUUGAUGAUUUUGGUUUUAAAAUUUAAGUACAUAAAAUAUUGAUUUUUUAUAUCAUAACUUUCAAAACGAUUCAAGGAGGGAUACCAAUCUUAAGAAUGUUGUUUCUAGCAUAUAAUGCUAGAAAAUAUUAUUGAGAUUGAGGACGACAAAAUCACCAGAAUUUGUGCUCAGAAAUUUAAGUCGGGCAUGGUCCGGUAGUAGGAAAAUGCGCAGUCGCCACUGGUCAAAUCCAUACCCCAAUUCAAAGCGUCUGGGCAGCUUCUUAAUUUUUGGGCCCAUAUUAAGCUAACCGCAAAAUUUUUUUAAAAAAAUUAUUAUAAAGACGAGAGAACACGACGCGAUGUUAUUAUAAGCAAGACUCCAAGGAUCUGACAUCUGCUCCACAUGCCGUUGCAGCACCGUCACUGAUCGCCUGUCGUCUGCUACUAAAAAUGCAUGUUGUGGUAACAUCUCUUUUCUGUUUCUUUUUCUGGGUUACUCAAGUAGGUGUAAUCUUUUCUCAUUAUGUGGUAUAGAUCCCUGACUCUCUCAGAAAAACUGGCGGGUGUAAUGAUGGCCCGACCUAUCAUCAUAGUAUGACCAAGAACUAUGGUCUAAACCGAUGUGGGGAAAAUAUAGGAUUAGUUGAACUGAAACCGACCUAGUUAAGCUUCUAAUCUAGCAUUUGAUGAAAGGACGACAGUUAUGCUUCAGAAACUAGUCCUGUUUAAAACAAUUCUCCUCACAACAACCAUGACAUUUACAACAUUCCGUUUCCACCUGACAUGUCCUCCAUUCCUUGCCUUGGAAAUGCAGAAAGCCAAAGCUAGCAGGGCUGGCAGCAGGAAAAAGUUCCAAAUUGAAUGGUCUCGGCCACAUUAUUUGACAUUUGUCUCUAAUGAUGCUAACUACUUAAAGAACCAAUAAUUGAUCUUCCCUGCCCUGGACUUGUUUUCCACAUUCAACAAAUUAUCGGAAUCUAUUCAGCAAAGCAUUUGAUCAUGCUGCUUUUUUCUUCUUUUUUUUUUCUUUUUUCUUUUUAAGGAAACAGACUCAUGCAAUGGGAUCAAAGGAAAAUUUUGUCGUGUCGUUGACCUAAGAGUAAUUAUGAGGUUCUUAUCUAAAGUUACUUCGUGAAUGUUGCACCCGUAUUCCUACCACUCCACCACUUAAGACUGCAGUUGAAGCUUGAGAAUAUACAGAUCAUGAAGCAACACAUACAAUGUAAUACACUUUUCUUGGUUUAGAAUGCGAACAGGCAGUGAUGGAUUAAUAUUUAUUAGUCGCUAUUUCCUAAUAAACAUGGGAGACAUAAGUUUGUGAUGACAGCAUUUUAGUCGACACCGGAAACGACAUCAGUGAACAUUUUUCCUAAGCAUGCCAUUAUAGUGGCGUUUGACCCACAUAGAUCUGGUGCAUAUUAGCUUUUAGAUUUUUUUUCCUAUUUGAGUUGCAUGUUUAAUGUAAAAGGUUAAAGAUUGUCGCGUGCCCCGGAUUAAGUUGAACCAGACGCGGGUUGGCCAAAAAUCUGCGGAAGAAUAGCUUCGAAUUUGUUAUGAACUAGCAAAACACGAAAUUAAUUUGCAUGUUUGUUCUGUCCCAGGGUAGAUAAAGAACACCACCUCAUUACUUGCUAUUAUAUAUUAUUGGCUUCGGUAAAGGUACUGGGUCUUGGUAUUCCGAGUGAUGACACGGGAAAUAAUCUGAGAAGUUCAACACAAGUACAUGAACACGCAGGAAAACUUUUACUUCGCAAAUGUAUAAAACCUUUGAAAGAAGUUCUUAAUACAUGUCUCGUCAUGUCUUAAGAACUUGCAUUUCUUUAUAUGCUAACUCUAGCUUAUAGCAAGUAAACUCUUAUAUCUGAAUCUUUCGAAGACAAAAUGUUGAUAUGCAAAACAAAAUUGCAAACUUCUUGAUGAAUGUGAUAUGGAGCAUGAAGAGAAAGAGGAUUUCACAAGCAAUCAUGAAUUUCGAUAAACAUUAACAAUUAAACAAAUUUUUGCCCCACGAUCUCCUUGCAGUAAUAGAGAAAAGCCCUGAAACCAGCGCAUGGCCUAACGGAAGAAUGGAAAAAGUAUUUCUAAUAAGCUCAGAAAAAAAAAAAAAGAAAGAAAGAAAGAAUAAAAGGUUGUCAAGUACUCCCAUGUCAAUCUUAUAACACGGCAUUUCCAGAUUUCCCGAUUAAGUGGGAAAAAAAAUGGAUGACAAAAGCUAAUACCUAUCUUUGUAUAGAAUUAGAUGCUUAAACGUUCAGCGGGAAAAUAACAAUACUACUAAACUAAAAACAUAUGCGACGGCAAAAAGUAGAAUGCACAGGCCAUAUAACCGAAUUAAGAUGAAGGUGAUAUUUCUCUUUUCAAUUUUCCUUUUUGUCAGAGUAAACGGUAAGCUUUGAGGUUGCUGUUCUACAACUGUAUUUUCGAUCUUUUAUUGUCAGUGUCCUCGCCCUGUCACGAUACGUAUCAUGAAAAUCACAAGCAGAAAAGCAAACAUUAAAAGAUUGGCAGUUAAAAGCAAACCCUAUACAUAAUUACAUACUAAAAUGGCAGAUUCAGAACCAAAAGUCUACGAAAUAAAAUUCCAUUAAUAUAAUAUGCCAGAAAAAAAGUAAGAAUACCGUAUAUAGUGUUGAUAUUCUUAUAGGAGUCUAUCUUUGUAGGAAUAUCCACUACUCAGUACGAUCUGUUGCAUAACCAAUGAUCGAAAAUAUCAUGAUACUCACACAAAGCAAAGACUCUCAAGAACGUUAAUUUUCUUUGAACUUAAAAAAACUAAAUGGAACUAGGGGAGUAAUAUAUAUGUGCAUCUGAUCAAUAAAAUAAAAUGACGAUCACAUAAAGGAAGUAAGAGAGUAUUGUUAAGUAAAUUAAUUAAGAAAAGAAACCCAAAACAGUAUUGCCUGGCUCCGUUCUGUCUGCCUCUUUCUUUAGCUUGGGAGGUUGCAGAGGCCUUAUAACAACAAAGAGCCCCCUACUAGAACUGAUGAAGAACCCUUCUUGGACUUGUUGAUGAGUUUUCCCACCAACUUGAACGUCCUCGACCACCAGAAGAGAACUUUGCUAAACGUUUUAGUGGUAGUACUACCAGUUGUAAAUCCUUCUUUUUCUUGAACCAGUGCAACAAGUUGGCUUCUGGGAUUAGUAAUAAUAUUAGCAGUAAACAAGUAAAUGGAUGGGAAGCGAAAUUUUCAUCUUCUUCAACCAUCUUUGCAUAAUUAUUUAAAAUGCAACCACCAACCACCCUCCCUCUUCUUCUUCUUCUUCUUCUUCUACUGUUACACAAACCCCUCUUUUCUUAUUUCUGUUUGUGGCCAGCAGCGGGAUUUGAUAUACAUCACGCAAAAGGAUACAUAUGUGUUGCCUUGGAGAAAGAAGAGAAAGAAAUGGAGAGUUAAGAGUAGAGAGGGGAAUCUAUGGGAUGGUGAAAAUGAGAGUGGCUGAGAGCUGAAGGAGGGAGGGCAGAGACAAGGGCGGGUUCUUAAAAGAAGGGUCCCAGCCCCGGAAGAGGAAUAGACAUUUUGUCCAUGCGACUUGUUCUAUUUCACGCUUCUUGUUUGCCUUCCGGGUCGGCCAGUUGAAUUCCCUUUCAAGUUUUGUCCACUCGCAGAUGCAGUACAAAUCCGUGACCGACUCCUGCCAAGCACUUUGGGAAUUUUUUGCAAUUUCUAUUUUAAAAAAUAUUCAAAAUAUCUCUAAUAUUUUGUUAAAUAAAUAUAUUUUGUUUUUAUUUUUAAAAUAUUAACUUUACGUUUCUUAUAAAUUUUAGUUUAACCUAAGUUUUUGCCCAUUUUUUAGUCCGAAAUCAUCAUGUGACGUAUAUUCAAUAUUUUUUAUGUAUAAAAGAGUUAGAUUUUACCUUAUUAGUUACAAAAAUGAAUAUGGAUUAAAUUAGAUCUCACUUUUUAGAGAAAAAAUAAACAUAGAUUAGGUCAAAAUUUACUUUUCAAGGGGUAAAAAAAAUUAUGAAUAAAGCAAUUUAUUUAAAUAUAAAUAAUUUUUAAUCAUUUUAUCGUUAAAAAAGUGAUUAUAUGUGAGUCAUAUGAUGAAUUUAAAAUAAAAAAUGAUAAAAACUUAUAUCGAGAUUAAAUUUUAUAGUCUUGAUUUUAUAAGAAACAUAAAAUCACCAUUUUAAAAGUAAAUAACAAAAAAAUUUAUUUGAUAAAAUGUGAUGGAAAUGAUUUGUCCUUUCUGUUUUAAGGAAUUAUUAAUUGUUAUUAUUGGUGGUUGGUGAUGUAAUAUGGUAUACUGAAGGUCUGUAAAUAAGCGGCGAGUGGGAUCGAUAAGUACGCGCGAAGGAAACGAGUAGGAGAAGAAAAGGGCAAUGGAAGGCCGGUGAUGGGCCCUUUUCAACUUUCAUAUUGGUCCGUAUUCUAGUGAAUGGGCGAGACGCAAAUUCUUACCUUCGUGGUCUCAUUCAACCAAUCGAUCAUAAUAUCAUCUGCUCAUUAUUCUCCCUUGUCCCUCUUCAACACUUCUGGACUCGAAACUUUUUAGUACUACCAGAUGCUAAAGCUGAAUGAAGCUGGAGUUUCAUGCUACUCUCCAUUCCUUCCGUAUGUAUUAGCUGUGUUUUAAAGUGUUUUUGAAAAAUUUUAUUAUAACAGUGUAUAUGAAAAUUUUUUUAAAUAUUUAAUAUAUUAUAUGAAUGACAUGUUUUUUGAGUUAUUAUGUAUUACUGUAGCAUUGUAUUUAAAAAAUUUAUUUUUGAAAAAAUGACCAAUCCAAAUGAAGUGUCUAAAAGGUACUCUGGGAUAUAGUUUCGAUUUUCAUCAUAUUCCAAAAUUGAGCUUAACGUUAUUUCCUCCAAAGUUUCACAAAUGAUAUCAUAUUAGAGUAGUUUUUAUUUAGUUAUAUUGAGUUGCAAGCCCUUCCCUUUCUAUUUUUGUAAGGUUUGGAGUUUUCUCUUAAAUUUAAAAAAUUUAUAAUUAACAUAAUAAAAAAAGAAAUAUAAUUUGCACUCCAUUUUUUUAUUGGCUCUUCUAGCAUUUGUUUUAUCAUAUAGCCUAAUAAAAGAAAACUAUAUGAUUAAAAUGAUAGUGAGAAUGUGAUUAAUAAAAAUGAAAGUGCAAAUAACAUUUCUCUUAAACAAAACCUACAGUAAGGGUACGUUUGAUAAAAUUGAAAUUUGAAAACUAAAAUCUGAGUUCAUUAAAUUGUUGACUUGUUAAGUAUUAAAUUUUGAUAUAUUUGAAUACAUAUUGAAUGAGUAAAUCUUAUAUAUACUGACAGUGUAUACACUAUCACCGUUUGAUUCAUGACAUGUGCGAAAAGUUGAAUUUCAAAUUUAAAUUUUGCAUAGUUGUCAUUCAUCCAACAAUGACAGUGUAUACACUGUCAGUGUAGGAAAGAUUAAUCCAUAUUUAAAUUACAUGAUAAGUGAUAUCAUUUGUCACUUUUUUUUGGAGUAAGUUUUGUUUAGAAAAUUCAGUAUCAUUUAAUUAAUUUAGAUGUUCUAUUUUAGUUAUUAAUGUAUAUGAACAUGUUAACAUCUGAACUCAUUAAACUUAAAUGUUAAAUUGAAUCAUUAAGCAGGGUCUAAGUUGAUCAUAAUGUUGUUAGCGUGGCCAAAGUAAAGCUAAGUUGCUAAUAGCUGAAAAUUGCGCCAUGUAUAUAUGCUGUACCCAACUACCCAUGACCUUCAUUGAAUGUCAGUCGUUCUCUCAUGGAAAAGUAGAGUAACGUAACUUCGAAAUUUAAAGUCAGUCAGGAAGCAAAUGCGCACAAAAUGCAGGCUUUCAGUUGUCUUGUUAUGUCGAUUACUAUUCUUGCUUUUAUAUUCCUUUAUAACACGACCAUGCUUAAUUGGAUUCUUGAUUUAGAAAGAAGAUUUGAUUGGUUAUACUAAGGUCUACUUAGUAGGGUUGCUCUGUUCAUCCUCAACGUCUAAUGAAAUUUUUGCUCCAGUUACUAGCUAAGGAUGAAACCACUGGGCCAAUGGCUCAGUGGCCACCAGGGAGGAGCUUAAGUCCCUCCUUGGACUGUAGGUGAGGGUUCAAAACUUCACUUGCAGCGAAAAAAAUUUAAGGAUUGUGUUAUAGCACUUUCUUGAUCUAGUUGGAUCUGUAUACCCACUAGCGCCCUACUACAACCUCAUUAGGUUUUUCCUCCCUCUAAAUUAAGAUAAAGUAGGUUAUAUAAAUGUAUCGUUGCUAACAAAAAAAAAAAAAUACUAGCUAAGGAUGAAAUUUUGGAUCUUGAAUCAAAGGAAAACCAAAUCUAGCACACGACGACACUAUUGAUGCAGCCAAUUGCAAAAUCCAGAAUAUAUAUAUAUAUAGAGAGAGAGAGAGAGAGAGAAGCAGGCCAGGAUGCCACGUCGUCUACGUUGUGCAGGAAAUGACUUUGGAAAUCAAGACAACCAGGGUCGGCUAUAUUGACUUGCAAUCCAUCCAUAUUUAACAUAUUAUAUUACAAUGCUGUGAAGAUAAUAAGAAAUUAAUUGUUUUACAUCAUGGUAUUCUAAUCAAAAUUAAAUCUAAAUCAGUUUGAUGUUAUCCCAUGAGACAUUGAUUCAUUCACUAAUCACGUGACGCGUUUAAAUUGGACCAUUGGAGAUCGGGGAUGACAAGAUCAAAAAAAAAAAAAAAAAAAAAAAGAGGGAGAAAGAAAAAGAAUAUCCUACUGUAUAUAUACAGGAAAGCUAUUAAUUAAUCACGUAUGGAAGGACUAAUUGUUUAACCAAGAAUGAGCUGGUUGUAGAUCUGAAUUAGAAAAUAUCAAGUGUAGAUGAAGCAGCCACCAUCUUUGACAAAGACAGAAUGGGUAGUGUGCCUUAGACGUCAAUGAUUCCCUGAAUCGUCUGAAAAACACUCAUCAAAAGCCCCCUUGAAUUGCACCACCAUUGUCGACACUUCCCCUUUUUCUAGAAACUCCCCACUCUCUUGUGUCUUCCUAUCUUUUUUAGAUAAUAAAUCAGUAUUAUCAUUGUAAUUGAAUAAAUGUUCCCAACAUGGCUGUAUUAGUAUCAAAUAAUGCUGAUGUUAGAUAGUGUGGCAAGCACAAAUUAAAAUCUGCACCAUAUUUGCCCCCCUUGAAUUUUAUAAAAUUCUCUCUUUUCAGUUGUAUUGCCUCCUCUUAAAUCAAAGAAAAUUCCUUUCUCUAUAUAGAUGAUCCUUUGAAGUUUUAUUUAUUCCCCUCUUAUUCUACAUUUACUCCCCCCCCCUCACAAAAAAAUAAGAUUUUUAUUAAUUAUCUCUAAUAAAAAUUUUAGAUCUAUUUCAAAUUAAACAUUAACGACGCUCUAAUGGGAAAAAAGUAUUUGGCCUUUAAAUCAAAAUACAUAUUAUAUGUAUAUUUUUAUAGAAAUCCGAGAGUAUGAUUUAUGUUGAAAUUGAUCGUUGCAUCUCUUUACUAUAGGGUCUUAACUCAGCUACUGUGGAGGAAAGAGGUGUUAGUGAGAGGUCUGAGUUUCGAGACCUUAUACUUACACUACUAAAAAAAAUCAUUAAACGAGCAACCUAUGAAAGAAUCUUCUAACAUAUAGAAUGUCUAAAUGGCAGACACUUAUGCAGACUUGGUGUACGAAAUUAUGUAAUUUAUGCAAUGAUAUAUGAAUUUUCUUAUAUUAACAUACAUUACUUACCAUCAUUUUUCAUGUAUGAUCAUACACGUGUAAUUAUUAAACGUACCAUAUAAAGUUUACAAGUAAAUUAAGACCAAGCCUAUAAGUAUUUUUUUCUAAAUAAUUAUAUUUGGCAUAUUUGCCAAUUUAAUUUUGCCAUAGAACACCAUCUUCCACUAUGUUUUGGAUUCACUUGUCAAUGAAAAUAUAUAGUGUGUCAUGAUAAAACUCAAUCAUCUAGAGAGAUAAAUUUGUUAAUUUCGACAAUUGUAGAAAUCUCUUAUAUUAAAAAAAAAUUUGUAGAAAUCUUGUUCAAGUUUUAUACGGGGAGGAAGGAAAGAAAUGAACUUGCCUUGCCAGUCGAACCCAAGACGUCACUCAUCACCUGACCUUGUGACCUUUCAGUGAUACAGUAGGAGGCCAUUGUGUCCAUUUCAGCAGCCCAAAUGUUUAGCCACUGUAGUUCCAUUGGGCUUAUAUUUGCUGAGGUCCAAUUACAAAUAUGUCCAGAGAAGGCCCGCUUCUGUAGAAAGUUCGCGUUACAUCUCUUUCUUUUCGAAGUCAGACAAUUUGCUUAAUUUUGCUGCAAGAAUAGUACUUUCACUGCAAUUGGCAAAGCUUUGGCUCCAUGUAUCUGUGUAAACUAAAGAAUUAACCACUUUGCACAUUGUGUAAUUUCAUGGAGAGGGUUAUGAUUUGGGCUAAGUAAGAAGCUGAACUCAGCUAGUAGAUCUUCGACAUCUCAUUGCGUAAAGUAAAGAAAUAGUAUAUACACCGUUAUUCGUCUUAAAUUUAAAUUUGAAGUCUAAAAAAAUUUCGUUCAUAUGUCAUGCACUUGAUGAUGAUAUUGUAUAUAUUGUUAGCUGCUGUUAGCGUACGUAAAAUUAACUCUAAUGUCCCGUUUAAUAACUCAAUUCAAUAUUUAAAUUUAAUGAAUUCAAAUUUUAAUAUAUUAAAAUACGUUUGAUAACAAAAAAUAGAGCAUUUGAGUUAAUUGAGUGACACUGAAUUUUUUAGAUAAAAUUUGUCUAUAAAAUUAAGUAUAAAUUAUUCACUUAUCAUUGAAUGCGAUAGAUAUUCAAAUAUAUUAAAGUUAGUACUAAACAAUUUAAUAAUUUAAUAAAUUCAGACUUAAUUUUAGAUUUUAAAUUUUAAUUUUAACAAAAGCAUGUAAAUAAGUGGUGUGUGUAAUAAAAGUACAGUAUCUUCUGCGAAAUAAAAUGGAAAUAGUCUCUAUUAAUUAACAGUCACAGGCCACAGCCCAUACAUAAAUGAAAAUGAACACUAUCUGACACAUAUCCAAUUUCACACAUCCCAACAAGCACAAUCGUGAUCUUAUGCGUUCUCGGCCUCAAUUCCCUUUCUCUUCUUCAUUGGAUAUAUCUCUACCAACUUCCUUUUUCCAUUCCGCUUGAAUUAUAUUAUUGAGUGCAGAAAUUUUGGCCUACACUCCACGACUAUUCUCUUCUUCUUCUUCCAAAUUUGAUUGCGUAAGAAACACGCCAAGGAGCUUCUAGUCCUUCCCCAUCGUGCACUAUUAACGAAAUAGAGCAAAAAACGAUACCAGCAUGGAGUCUGGUGCAAGUGUUAAGCAAAGAAUUGCCAGAAUUUCAGCCCACCUCAACCCUCCAGCCAUUUCCCAGGUGUUUUCUCUCCUUUCCUCCUUAAUUAGCUUUGGUUUUAUGAAUUUUUUGGCUUUAGCUUCCGCCUUUCUUGAUAGGUCGUUGAAAAUUGAUUUUGAGAAGUCGAUUUUUAUUUUAAUUUGGGUUUUUAAUGGGAAAAAUUUCUCUUGGCUUUUGUGGGCUAUAAAGGUGGAGGGAAGUUGUGGGUUGAGAACAGGGAAUUGCAGGGCAAAAGGGGGCUCACCUGGGUUUAAAGUUGCGAUCUUGGGAGCUGCAGGAGGCAUUGGGCAGCCUCUCGUAUGCUCAUGAAGAUGAAUCCAUUGGUCUCAGUUCUUCAUCUCUAUGAUGUGGUCAACACUCCUGGAGUCACCGCAGAUAUCAGUCACAUGGACACCGGUGCAGUGGUAAAUUUCCCAUGUUAAUUAAUAACCAAAUUGCUGAUUUGUUAAUGUGUAUCUCAUGUACCCGCUUGUCAAAGAAAUCAUGUUAAUCGUUAAUGGAAAGAGAGAGAUGAGAUGGAAGCUCUUGAAUGAGUUGUUCCACCGCGGUACUUUGUAGAGUAAGGAACUUUGUGUCAGUAGAAACUUGCGUCAGUUUACAGAGUUGCAGUUGAAAUCAGCAUAGGGGAAGACGAGUUAACAGAUUGUCGUCAUUGUACAAUGUUAAAAAUGUGAAAGUUAAUGAAGAAAGAGAAAAUAUGGGUAAAUAUUCUGUGUCUCGUAUGUUUAGCAAAUAUCCACUUUAUGAUUCUCCAAUGCCUCUUCGUCACAUAUGUGGCCUUAAGGUAUGGGAAAAGACUGUAACAUGGUAGCAUUGUCUCAUGUAUGGUUUACUUUGUUGGUACAACUUAGUUCACUUCAACUUAACUUUGUUGGUACAUCCAGGGAUCAGGAAUUUGAUAACAUGAAAUUCAAAGCAACGAUGAGUGAAAAUUGAGAUGUCCCUUUUUGUGCUAUAUAAGUUCUUAUGUUCUAAAUUGUUCAAUUUGGCAUAGACUGCUAAUGUUUGGUUUACAUUUCCAGGUGCGUGGUUUUCUAGGGAAAGAGCAAUUGGAGGAUGCCCUUAUUGGCAUGGACCUUGUGAUCAUUCCUGCUGGGGUUCCUAGGAAACCAGGAAUGACUAGAGAUGAUCUUUUUAAUAUCAAUGCUGGAAUUGUUAAGACUCUAUGUGAAGGAAUUUCAAAGUGCUGUCCGAAAGCCAUUGUCAACUUAAUUAGUAACCCGUUAACUCCACAGUUCCCAUUGCUGCAAGCCUAUAAGUAUUUUUUUUCUAAAUAAUUAUAUUUGGCAUAUUUGCCAAUUUAAUUUUGCCAUAGAACACCAUCUUCCACUAUGUUUUGGAUUCACUUGUCAAUGAAAAUAUAUAGUGUGGCAUGAUAAAACUCAAUCAUCUAGAGCGAUAAAUUUGGUAAUUUCGACAAUUGUAGAAAUGUCUUAUAUUAAAAAAAAAUUUGUAGAAAUCUUGUUCCAGUUUUUUACGGGGAGGAAGGAAAGAAAUGAACUUGCCUUGCCAGUCGAACCCAAGACGUCACUCAUCACCUGACAUUGUGUCCAUUUCAGCAGCCCAAAUGUUUAGCUACCGUAGUUCCAUUGGGCUUAUAUUUGCUGAGGUCCAAUUACAAAUAUGUCCAGAGAAGGCCCGCUUCUGUAGAAAGUUCGCGUUACUUCUCUUUCUUUUCGAAGUCAGACAAUUUGCUUAAUUUUGCUGCAAGAAUAGUAGUUUCUCUGGCAAUUGGCAAAGCUUUAGCUCCAUGUAACUGUGUAAACUAAAGAAUUAACCACUUUGCACAUUGUGUAAUUUCAUGGCGAGGGUUAUGAUUUGGGCUAAGUAAGAAGCUGGACUCAGCUAGUAGAUCUUCUACAUCUCAUUGCGUAAAGUAAAGAAAUAGCAUAUACACCGUUAUUCAUCUUAAAUUUAAAUUUGAAGUCUAAAAAAAUUUUGUUCAUCAUCUGUCAUGCACUUGAUGAUGAUAUCGUAUAUAUUGUUAGCUGCUGUUAGCGUACGUAAUAUUAACUCUAAUGUCCCGUUUAAUAACUCAAUUCAAUAUUUAAAUUUAAUGAAUUCAAAUUUUAAUAUGUUAAGAUGCAUUUGAUAACAAAAAAUAGAGUAUUUGAGUUAAUUGAGUGACACUGAAUUCUUUAGAUAAAAUUUGCCUACAAAAUUAAGUGAUAAUCUAUUCACUUAUCAUUGAAUGCGAUAUGCAUUCAAAUAUAUUAGAAUUAAUAUUUAAAAAUUUAAUAAAUUCAGACUGGAUUUUAAAUUUUAAAUAUUAGUUUUAUCAAACGCACGUAAAUAAUAAGUGAUGUGUAUAAUAAAAGUACAUAAACCACGUCUUCCGCAAAAUAAAAUGGAAAUAGUCUCUAUUAAUUAACAGUCACAGGCCACAGCCCAUACAUAAAUGAAAAUGAACACUGUCUGACACAUAUCCAAUUUCACACAUCCCAACAAGCUCAAUCGUGAUCUUAUGCGUUCUCGGCCUCAAUUCCCUUUCUCUUCUUCAUUGGAUAUAUCUCUACCAACUUCCUUUUUCCAUUCCGCUUGAAUUAUAAGGAGAAUUAUAUAUUGAGUGCAGAAAUUUUGGCCUACACUCCACGACUAUUCUCUUCUUCUUCUUCCAAAUUUGAUUGCGUAAGAAACACGCCAAGGAGCUUCCAGUCCUUCCCCAUCGUGCAUUAUUAACGAAAUAGAGCAAAAACGAUACCAGCAUGGAGUCCGGUGCAAGUGUUAAGCAAAGAAUUGCCAGAAUUUCAGCCCACCUCAACCCUCCAGCCAUUUCCCAGGUGGUUUUCUCUCCUUUCCUCCUUAAUUAGCUUUGGUUUUAUGAAUUUUUUGGCUUUAGCUUCCGCCUUUCUUGAUAGGUCGUUGAAAAUUGAUUUUGAAAGAAGUCGAUUUUUAUUUUAAUUUGGGUUUUUAAUGGGAAAAAUUUCUCUUGGCUUUUGUGGGCUAUAAAGGUGGAGGGAAGUUGUGGGUUGAGAACAGGGAAUUGCAGGGCAAAAGGGGGCUCACCUGGGUUUAAAGUUGCGAUCUUGGGAGCUGCAGGAGGCAUUGGGCAGCCUCUCGUUAUGCUCAUGAAGAUGAAUCCAUUGGUCUCAGUUCUUCAUCUCUAUGAUGUGGUCAACACUCCUGGAGUCACCGCAGAUAUCAGUCACAUGGACACCGGUGCAGUGGUAAAUUUCCCAUGUUAAUUAAUAACCAAAUUGCUGAUUUGUUAAUGUGUAUCUCAUGUACCCGCUUGUCAAAGAAAUCGAUGUUAAUCGUUAAUGGAAAGAGAGAGAUGAGAUGGAAGCUCUUGAAUGAGUUGUUCCACCCGCGGUACUUUGUAGAGUAAGGAACUUUGUGUCAGUAGAAACCUUGCGUCAGUUUACAGAGUUGCAGUUGAAAUCAGCAUAGGGGAAGACAAGAGUUAAUAGAUUGUCGUCAUUGUACAAUGUUAAAAAUGUGAAAGUUAAUGAAGAAAGAGAAAAUAUGGGUAAAUAUUCUGUGUCUCGUAUGUUUAGCAAAUAUCCACUUUAUGAUUCUCCAAUGCCUCUUCGUCACAUAUGUGGCCUUAAGGUAUGGGAAAAGACUGUAACAUGGUAGCAUUGUCUCAUGUAUGGUUUACUUUGUUGGUACAACUUAGUUCACUUCAACUUAACUUUGUUGGUACAUCCAGGGAUCAGGAAUUUGAUAACAUGAAAUUCAAAGCAACGAUGAGUGAAAAUUGAGAUGUCCCUUUUUGUGCUAUAUAAGUUCUUAUGUUCUAAAUUGUUCAAUUUGGCAUAGACUGCUAAUGUUUGGUUUACAUUUCCAGGUGCGUGGUUUUCUAGGGAAAGAGCAAUUGGAGGAUGCCCUUAUUGGCAUGGACCUUGUGAUCAUUCCUGCUGGGGUUCCUAGGAAACCAGGAAUGACUAGAGAUGAUCUUUUUAAUAUCAAUGCUGGAAUUGUUAAGACUCUAUGUGAAGGAAUUUCAAAGUGCUGUCCGAAAGCCAUUGUCAACUUAAUUAGUAACCCUGUUAACUCCACAGUUCCCAUUGCUGCAGAGGUUUUCAAGAAGGCCGGCAUCUAUGACCCCAGGAAACUUUUGGGAGUGACAAUGCUUGAUGUUGUUAGAUCCAAUACAUUUGUGGUAUGCAUGACUCAGUAGCUAUUCCUUUUGAUAUAUAAACCAACCGUUUAUUCUCUCUGUCUCUCUCUCUCACAUAUGUCAUUAGAUUUGUAUCAUUCUUAGGAUUCUCUAUCUUAUAUUGUAUCUUUUACAUCAUCUGAAGGCCGAGGUUUUGGGGCUUGAUCCUAGGGAAGUUGAUGUUCCAGUUGUAGGGGGUCAUGCUGGAGCUACAAUUUUACCUCUGCUGUCACAGGUCAAUAUAACUUCUUGAAUAGCUUAUAAGUUCACUUAAAUAGCAAUAACUCUCUCUCUCUCUCUCUCUCUCUCUAUCCUUUAUUAGCCCUUCUUAUGUUAAUGGAACUUGUCUCAUGUAAAACAGGUUAAACCUCCUUGCUCUUUUACUGUAGAAGAAACUGAGCAUCUGACUUCUAGAAUUCAGAAUGGUGGAACUGAAGUUGUUGAGGUAAGAAGGUUUCCCAUUUAUAUAAUGUGAAGUCUGUGCUUGAGUUUCUAACUGCAGCAGUGACGGCUGUUAGAUGUAUUCGUAAAAAAUGCCUAGUACUCCAGUGCAUCAGUCAUUUCUAUGCUUGAUACAAUGUUGUUCAGUCAUACUUGCUCAUUAUGUUUUGUCAUAAAUGAAGAGCUUAGGUUUAACGAGUUCAGUUUCAUCUGUUGCCAUAUAGAAAUUCAUAAGCUGUGGAGCUGGCAUGAAGGGAGAGUUGCAUUUAGGUUAAAAUCUAGGAGAUGCCACUCAGAACCAUAGUCGAACCUCUUUGUUUGCCUUACUUGCCCUUUCUUCAACUGGAUAAUCUUGUUUGAUUGACGUAAAUAAGAUGUAUAAAAAGCUUGGUCCUAAGUGCCUUUAGUUGGAAAGUGCCAAAGUCUGGGAUAUGCAAAUUGUUGAUUUCAGUUUUUAUUAGAUUGGUGUGCCUGCGUAAAGAUUUUGUGUAGACAACGAUUUAAAAAAUGAAAAGGAAAUCUGUUAAGCUGAACAGCAAGCUUGGGAUUUGUUCAACUUCCCUGCUAGAAACAUUGUGGGUUCAUUUUGGCGCAUUUGAUACUUAGUUAAUCUGGAGAGCACACAACAUAAGUUAACUUGUACUUCUGCAUUCUAUACCAUGCUGGAGAGAGCUAAAAAUUGACUGUGUUAAUGUGGAGACUGAAUGCAUAUAGUUGUAGGACCUAGUCAAUUUUCCGUGAGGUUAAAAUAAGGGAAGAAAACCCAAGAGUAAGGAUAUGGAAAGAAGCAAUACCUCACUUACACAUCGUCCUCAAAUGAACUGUUGAAGCUUUGUCUAAUAAUUACACUUCUCUACAAGAUGUGUUUUGUGAAAAUUACUUUUGAAUAAUUGCUGAAAGUUCUUUAAGGUGACGUUACUAAAAUUUCGAAUGACUAAAUAUAUAUAGGUGGAUGUCUCUUAGUAAUGGCUGGUGGCGCGAAAUUUUGGAAAUAGACUAAUUAAUAUUUUAGUAUUAAAAAGUGAGAAAUUUGUCUCUGUAGAAUUUUGGCUGCACGGUUUUCAACGAAUAUCUAUACUUAUUUUUCGUUUGGCAGCCAAGAAACAAUAGUGAUAUGAACUGUUAUAUAAUGGCAUGAAUAAAUUGUUCCAUGUACACAAUGGACGUCUGUAUGUAUUUUAAUAUAAUUGUUGCAUCCCUUUCAGGCCAAAGCUGGUGCAGGAUCUGCUACUCUCUCAAUGGUUAGGCAUUGUUAUCAGUCCUUGUUUUACUAACUGUUAUUCUGUUACUACUAAACAACAUUGGCUCUUGAGAUAGUGCUGAGAAAGGCCUGCUGGUUAUUUUCAGGCAUAUGCUGCUGUUAAAUUUGCAGAUGCAUGUUUACGGGGGUUGAGAGGAGAUGCUGGUGUUGUCGAGUGUGCAUUUGUGUCAUCUCAGGCAUGUCACUAUCAUCACUUAUCUAGGAUUCAUAAACACUCUUCAUGAUGUUAUUGUAAUUGAUUGGUUGAUCAUUCUCUUUUCAGGUGACUGAGCUUCCUUUCUUUGCAACCAGAGUACGGCUUGGUUGUAAUGGGAUUGAGGAGAUAUACCCACUUGGUCCACUAAACGAGUAUGAGAGGUCUGUAUUAACUAAUAUUUUAGAUUAUCUUCCAUCUUUUUGUCCUAAUGUUCUUUCUAAGCUGUGUUAUCAGCCCUCCUACCCUAUGGACUGCUGAAGUUUUUAACCUUGUCCUCCGACUAAUUCGUCAUCUUAUAUCACUUUGCCAAACCAAUUAAGUAGACCUAUCUCAACUCAAUCUGAUGUAAGAUGGCAGUUCAUUGUUUCAAUGUGUACCCUUCAGUUCCCCCCCCCCCCCCCAACCCACAAACCAAUUUCUUGUGUGAUAUGUCCAUUCAAACCACAAAGCUACAGUAAAGACGCUUAUAGAGGAGAAAUGCUUGCUUUUUUAAGCUAAGGUGGCAUUUAACAGUAUUAUUAAUAAAUACUUGAUUCUCAUAUUAUUGGUUGUUGAUAUAAUUCAUGAUGUUUUUUCUGAAUCAUUGGUCCUUCUGACGUGCUAAUCAAAGUAGUCACCACUUGCACAAGCUCAUCAUCUCAAAAUAAAGAUAAUAUAUCUGCACAUUCGAAAAUUACAUUUUACCUUUAUUCAGUGCUUGUCAGCCUAAUUUAAGUAUACUUACUAUCCAAUUAUGUAAUGAGAUAAUGUGCAUGCUGUUGUUCUCUCCAAUGUAUCUCCAUGCCUGUGCCAGUAUGGUGCAUCGGAUGGGUCUGACAUUUUCAAGAGAUUGCUUGUCUUUACCGUCUUCUGAUUUUUGCAGGGCCGGCUUGGAGAAAGCAAAGAAAGAAUUAGCUGGAAGCAUUGAGAAGGGGAUUUCAUUUGCAACGAAAUGAAACGGCCAACUAAAUUACCUUCUUCAGGAUCGUUAUUACCGUGGUGCCUCUUGUUGUUCAGUCAAGGCCUCGGUUUCUGGAAUAAGUUGUUGAAUCCGAUGUUGUAUCAGAAGUGCAUACAGCCUUGCAGUGUACACAAAUCAGAAAAAUAAGGCAAAGAUUUUGUCCCACCUCGCUCCCUCAUAUUUGUUCCCUCCUACCAUAGAACAUGAAAAUUAAAGGGGGGGAAGUGUGUUCUUUAAGAUUUUUUUUUUUUUUUUUUUUUUACAAACGUGUUCUUUAAGAUUGAUGGAUGGACUUUUGGAGUACUGGCCGGGGUAAUUGAGAAUGAGCAUGUUAGCAUAGAUCUAAACUUUCUUCAUCUUCAAUAUAUUCUUGGUAACUUCUGAUGGAUUUUCAUCAGUUCAAUUUCUCUUUUUUUUUUUUUUCGGAAACGAUAGAUGGUAUUUCAUAGAAAUUUGAGACUUUACAAUAUUUGAGCAACGGCUCGACUACCUGUACCAAGUGUACCAUGACACUUAAGGAAGAACAAAGGUUCUCUCCUCGUCCAUACAUAUGCUUAAAGCAUAAAGACUAAUCUGAUUACAUAGAUUCAUAUUACUAGUAUCCCUUUCGACAAAGGAGCACACUUGAAACAGCUUAGCUAACGCUAAAAUAUCUUCCACCAACGUGACCAUAUUUGGAUGAUCUCCUGCCCCAUAUUUUAGUAAGGAGGUAAGCCUUUUGUUGGUAGUGACCACUUGGAUCCUUGGCCAUCUCCGCUGACUUGCUUUUAUAAGAGCCAAUCUUACUCCUAUGGCUUCAUCUUGGAUAGUCACUGAUGAGCUCCUGUCUACUAGCGCCCACUCCACUAUGUUUCGUCCACCUUCCUGCUGAGCCACAAUUCCUAUUCCUAACUUAUGACCCUCCCCUACCUUUUUUGUCACAACCUGGACUUCUGUUAUUCCAUUAACCUCCAACACUUCCUCCUCCAGGCUUGGAUUAGCUGCCUCUGUUUCUGGUGUGCUUCUGUCUUCCUUUCCACUACUAGCCUCCUCAAACUCCAGCCACUCUGAGUUAGCCUUGUGAACAACUCUUACUCUUUCUCUUUCCUUCCCUUCGAAUUCCAGCUCAUUCCUGUCUUUCCAUAGUUGCCAGAGGAUGUUUGCCGUCAGAGCUAUGUGCUGCUUUCCUUCUCUCCUAGCCUUGGCUUGUACUAAUGUUGCCCACCAUUGUUUGAAGCAUCCUGUUAGAUUCUGGAUUCCAUCCCAUUGCACAGGAGCUAACUUCCAUACCUGUUGAGCCUGAGUGCAGUGGAACAAAAUGUGUUCAACUGUUUCCACCUUAUCCCCACAUCUUAGACAAAAUGGUGAUCCUUGCCUUGUUCUCCUGAAUAUUGUCUCCCUGGCUGUUAGAGUAUUGGUUAUACACCUCCAUAUGAACAGUUUUAUCUUAUGUUUGAUGUUCAGCUCCCAUAACGACUUCCACAUCUGUGUGUUAGAAUCAUCAAAGCUAGAGCCGGAUUCCCCUCUUACUGCCAGUUCCUUGCUUUUUUCUUCAUUUAGCAGAGCUUGAUAACAAGACUUAACUGAGUACUCCCCUUGUUGACUAUAGAUCCAAAAGUGCCUGUCACCCACUCUUGACAAACUGAUAGGAACCUUCAGAAUGUUCUCAGCAUCUUCUUUGUUAAAUGCUCUGAAAAUUUUAUUUCUGUUCCACCUGAAGUUGGUAAUCAACUCAUCUACUGUGCCUUCCUCCCAAUCGUUUGGUUUCCUUGUGGUAGGUACUCCAUUAGGACUAUUUGGGAUCCAUUGGUCUUUCCAGAUCUUGAUACUCUUCCCUGAUCCAACUCUCUUCAAUGUACCUUUCUUCACUACAUCCCUCGCAGACAUAAUGCUUUGCCAGAACCAGGAAGAAUAUUUGGGGCAUUCACCUUGUAGUAUGGAUGUCUUGGGGUAAUAUUUAGCUUUGAGCAUUCUGCUUACGAGCAAGUUUGGGUUUCUUAGGAGUCUCCAAAUCUGUUUUCCCAGUAAUGCUAUGUUGAAACACUGCAGAUUUCUAAACCCCAGUCCUCCAUCCAAUUUUGCCUUCAUCAUUUUUGUCCAUGAACACCAGUGCACCUUAGCUUUCCCUUCUGAGUCCCCCCACCAGUACUUAGCCAUCAACCCCGUAAUCUCCUUACACAACUUAGCAGGUAAUUUGAAGCAAGACAUAGAGUAGGUUGGCAUUGCCAUAAUGACAGCCUUUAACAUAACCUCCUUUCCUGCUGCACUUAAGAAUUUAUUCUUCCAGCUGCUUAGUUUAGCUUUGAUACUGUCCUUUAUGAAUCCAAAAACCUGGCUUUUUGUUCUUGAAAUCACCAUGGGGAGACCUAGAUAUUUGCCUUGAUUCACUACCCUUACCCCUGCAAGAGGCCUACAUGUCUCCUCCUUGUCCCUCUCCUUUGUAUUCUUACUGAAACAAAUGGAAGAUUUCUCCAAAUUAAUCACCUGCCCAGAUCCUCUCUCAUACUGCUCCAGUAUUUCCUUCAACUUCCUUGCUUCUUCCCUUACAGCUUUAAUUUCUCGGUAUCAUCUUUUCGGUACCUAUGGGAAUUGAUAGGUGGUUUCUAGCGCAAGCCCGGUAGAUUUUUUAAUUGGGAUAAUUUCAGAUACCUCCCCUAAGGUUUUUAACAAUUUCACUAGCUUCCUUUUAGGUUCGCAAAAUUACAAGAGCCUCCCUUGAAGUUAAUGAUGUAGUAACAAAAUGAUUCCAAAUCCGAAAAAGUAACAUGAAAAAAAUAUUUUAAGGAGAGAUGACAUUUUUAUUCCAUAACUACCCCUUAUACAUAUAUAUAAGUUGCAUUAGUAAAAAUAUGAAAACAAGUAAAAAUUAGAAACAACUAACACACAUUUCAUUACUCAAAAUAUUCACAUUCAAUGCAUUGGAUAGCACAAAUAAAUGAUAAAACUACAGUAAUGAUCACAAGAUUCGGUAAAACAGACAAGUCAUCAUUCUUAACAUCAAGUUUGUUAUGAUUUUUGUGAUUUUUGAACAGAAUGAAUUUUUAAAUUUUACCUUUUUUUUCUUCUUUCUUCUUUAUUUCCACGAAAUUAUUUUACAACUAUUACAAUUUCAAAAGUUCAAAAGAAAAUUUUCUCACGAAUAAUUUUUUUUUACCCUGUGUUUUUUUUCUUUUACCAAACCUCUUUUUGUCAUAGUGUGUUUAACUGGUUUUUGAUCAUUGUUAAAGUUUUAUCAAUCACAAAAUAGCAUUAUUUGGUAUAUCGAUUAGCCUUUAUUUUAUAAUUACAAGUCACUGUUCAUCAUUAAAGAAAUUCUCAAUAGUUAUUUUCUUUAAUUAGUUAUUAAUAGUUAAUUAGUGCUCUAAUUAUCGUUAGAUAGUAGUUUCUAUAAGACAUAAUGUCUUAGAGUAUAUGGGUAAUUUUUUCCCAUGUGAUGAAAGUAAUCAGGCCCACAAUUCUACCAAGAGAGGUAAAUGUAAUUUUAUGAAUCUCAAGGAGGUCAGUGAAAUUGUCAAAGACAUCAAGGGAGGUUUUUGUAAUUAUACCUUGCAGAUUAUAUGUAACUACAUUUGAGAGAUCAGUACUUCAUUGUAACCGAAAUCACAAAUACGGUUGAUUGUUAAAGACUAAUAUAAAACUAAAUUACAUUUAAAGACUAAUAUAAAAUUAGAUUACAUUUACAUGUAAAAUAUGAAUUCAAAAACUUCGCUCUUCAAAUCUCAAUCUUAGUAAUAAACGAGUUUAGGCGGGAGACCUGUGACGUUUAGACUUCGACCGUGUCCUAUUGAUUGAUUUUCCUUCUUCUUUAAGUUUUUAGGUUUUGAUACGACCGUAGUACAGGUGCUCACUUGCCCACUGACCCAAUCUCUUGUACGAUGAAACUAAUUCCAUCAACUAUAUAAGAAGAAGAGACAAAGAGGUAGUAAGUUGCCUGCUUGUAGCAAGUUUUUACAGGACGUAGCUAAGCCUUUCGGAAUCUCAAUCUUAGUAGUAAAUGAGUUUAGCUUCAAACCUUGUGUCUCUUGACCUUCCCUCAUGAUUAGAACAUAUUAUUAAUUAGCAAAAAAAAUUUGCAUAAGAGAUUACAAAUUAUUGAUUUUGUGAUACAACAAAGCGUUAUGGAUUCAAAUCUUCUUUUUUCCUCUUCGCUUUUUAAAUCUCAAUCUGCGUAUUUUUCUUUCUUUAAAGUAUAUUUUGAAUGGCCUGAUUGGGCUUAUCCAAAUACGACAAAUAGAUGGACCAAGUGGGUUUACCCAAUGCUGAUGGGAACCCAAAUAGGACAAUACUGAUCCAAUCUAAACCAAGGUAGGUAGCAAGAAGUCCUACAUGGUCAGCAAAUGUUGAAAGGUGCAGCUCAACUGGAGAUUACUCAUAGAAGAAGGUCCGCGGGUACUGCAAGAAAAUCCGUCCAUUUUUAGUCACCUUCGUAAAGUCCCAUAUCUGUUUAUCCAAGUCCCAAGCGAGCGGGGUCUAAACAUAAUUGUCGUGGGUAUCAUUACCAUCAACUAAAAAUGAUGAGAAAACGUGUACUUGAGAAUUUCUAAGCUUUUGACUCAUGAGCGAUCUGCAGUUAAUUGCCCCUUGAAUAAUACUACAUGCGAAGCUCAGUUCAUGAUAAACUCUGGCAGUAAAAAGCAAAGCCCCCGAGUCACGAGUCACCAAAUGGAAUGAUUAAAGCUGCUCUUAAUUUGCUUCUUUCAUGAUCAGUGUAUCCCAGCCAUCGUGCACUUUUCUCUUGAAUCCCUCUUUUUUCUCGACCCCACAAAUGCCCAUCUUUUCUCUGACUUUUGUUUUUCAUCCUUUAUAUAUAUAUAUAUAUAUCUGCAUGGGCAAAUUCAAAAUGUAGAUUGGCCAUCUGGGCUCCUUUCCUAAUCAUUCUAAUCAGCAUCUGUCAUAGGUAAUGGAUCUAUUUACGCAUCUAAACUUUAGUCUACCGUCACUUUAGGUGGUGCCGAAGAGUUCCUGUGUCACAAUCUUUUCACGGACAUGAUUAUGGGCUCGAGUUCAUCAUUGACUAUCAAUGCAUAUUUUGUCCACAACCUGUUCCAAACUACACGUGGAUCUUGUUUAUUACUAACUCUCUGUAAAAAGUGUGAUUAGAAGUACUUAGUGGCAAAAAAUCUGGCUUCAUUUACUUUACAGCUAAUUCAUUAGUGUGAUAUUUGCGCCCCACCCACCCCCAACUUUUUUUUUUUUUUUUUUUUGUUUUUGUUUUUGUUUACGUUGAAUGUUCAAAGUUUGGCAAAAGUCAUGUAUGUCGCCUUUUUGGCCUUUCCGACAUAUCAAUGGUGUCCGCUUUUCCUUUUGAUUACAAUAUCAAAAUGCACUUACCGGUGUUCCAAUUUACUACUCCCACUGCUGCAACCACUCAAUCUUUUAGUAAGAGCGAAAGCUAGCUAGCAUUAACGGUCUUGUUACAGCAUAAACAAAUUUUAGUGGAUUUGUGCAUAACAUUCUCGAAAGUAGGAAAUGAAAUUAUUCCUUUUGACGCAAGUGAAAUAGUGUGUAACGAACGAACGGACUCAGUAAAUUUUCCACAUGUACUGUUCCUUUGACCCCUUUGAGUUUUGGUGCUAAAAUAUUUUUGGCCCUAAAUCUAAUUAUUGUCUUUCGUUCUACGACCAUUUGAUUUGGGGUGAUAUCCAGUCCACUCACUCUUGAAACCCACCUUUCUCCAUGCAAUUAAAGUGUCUCUUUAAUCUCCAUGCACAUUUGUGAUAGCCUUUAAUUUUCGGGGACAUGUUCUACCAAAUUUUGCCAUACUUUGCACUGCUCUAUCAUGUGCAUUGCUCCUGGAGUACUAUACCGUUUCCCGUCAUAUCUUUUUCUGUAGGCUCCUCCUCCGUUUCAUUUGGAGAGUGACAGCGAUUCCGAUUGGAAUACUUUCGCUGUGCUUUUUAUGCACAGCUUUUUUGAUCUGAAAGGAAAAACCAGCAAAUAUAUUUUCUUAGGAGUACUUUUCUUUACUUGCUAAUGGUCCUACACCAUCCCGAUGAAUUAUGAUACACACAGGGGAAAAGAGGGGGUAGUCGGUCGAUUUGAUCCAUUUUGAGACACAGAAUAUAUAUAUUGUCAAGAAAAGCUUCGAAACACUUGACUAUUGGAGUUAAUCAUUCUUGAUUUAUCAAAGGCCACAACGUUUUACAAGCGGUGGAAUCCAAAGUACCUUUAAUUGCACCUUUUUUUUUUCCCAAGUGUGCAACCAUCCUUGAAUCCAUUAAUAACCAACUAAUGCCCCAUGAAAGUCUACAAUUUUGGUUGCAUGAUUUGAGGAAGAGGGGUUGAUCGAGAUUAAUGGCCAUUGAUUACUUCAAAUUAAUAGUCGAAGUCGCAUCGUAUCUGAUCUGAUCUGAUCAGGUUUCAUUGGCGACAGUAACACGGGACCAAGUAGUAAAAGCUAAAACACAAAUGUUAUCUGUCGGUGGUGCUGAACGUCCAGACGAGUAAAUUAACGACAACACAUAGAGCAUUGUAAUCUCAAAUCUGUACUGAGUAAAACAUUGAUCUGGUGAUGCAACGCAGAGCUGGAAAAAAUAAAAAGACACUGAUCAUGACUACCAUGUACCAUGUCCAAAGAAAACGUUAACGUUUGACAUAGACCUGUUGUUUUGUUUCAUCCCCAGCUGCUCCACAGCCAUAAGGCCAACUGGCCAUGGACUCCAACUAGGAGGCCCUUAGGGGACGCAAUAAUUUAUCUCCCGUGGCGACCGGUGAGAUUGAGAAUGACCAUUCUCUGCUCAUAUUGAAUGACUCUGCAAAUACGGCUGCCAAAUUCGUUCCCAUGCAUAUGUUGUGCUUUCGGACUUUGUAUGCCUCUCUGACCCAUGCGUGUUUGGAUAGAAGAUUAUUUGAAAAUAUUAUAAUAUUUUUAUGAUGUAAUUUAUGUGAGAUGAAAAUGUAGUUAGAAAUAAAAAUAGGUGAGUGGAGAAUGUUCUUGUGAUGCAAGCAAUUUUUUUUUUUUUUUUUUGCCAAUUAAAACUUGCAUCUAAACAGAGCUGUUAGUGGCAAACAAGAUGCGAAGUAAAAUAGUAAUGGGAAAAUGUGUCAAAGAAUAUUUCAAAAAAAUUUUUGCCAAAAAAAAACUACCAAUUCAAAGAAUUUCUUUUUUUUUUUUUGAUAUGUCUAGAAUAAUAAAAGUAGAGUGGGGCUAGUGUGGCAUAAACCGAUCGCAUUUCUAGGGUGAUAUGGAAUUUAUAUUGUUUUUGUAAGGGAAGACUAGUCAUUUGCAAUGCUAAUAAUUAGCGUUCAGUUAGCCUAACACUCAGGAGUGUUCAAAUAAUGCGUUGUUUGAAACAUUAUUUGAAAUAAUUAUUACAACACUCUUAUGAUGUAAAGUAUAUGAGAUAACAGGAUAAUUGAUUGAGAGGAUAAACAAGUUGAUUGAAAAAUGCGUUUUUUGAUAGAAGCACAAAUAUCGUUUCAAAUAAUACACAUGUAUUCUACUGCAGUUAUUGGAUCUUAUUUAAGUAGAAUGAGAAUUUCUCAUCACUAAAUAAAUUUGCUUAAUUACCAAGAAAAGAGAAGAGGACUUUUUCUUUCCUACCCCCCUCGAGAAUUAUACGAAAAUGAAAUGAAUGGUUGCGGUGGUGGGGCUUGAGAGUUGUACAUUUUGCAUCUGCCGGACAGCCGAGGCCAUUUUCAUGCAGGGCGUGCUAGUCAUCGGAGACGUGCACCUAAUCAAGAAAACUGCAAAACUUGCGCUCGUAAUUGUAAUACUACUUUUGCCUUGGAAAAUAAAUUUAUACCAACAGUUUGUCCAUUCCGUCUAUUGGCUCUUUCUUUUGAAACACCCCCCUCCCCCAUAAAAUCCCAGAAAAAAAAAAAAGAAAAGAAAAAAAUUUAUUGGCUUUUUCGAGGUUCUCGUUUUUUUUUUUUUAAAAAAAAGAAGUUAUUUUAAUCUCUUUUUUGACGGAGUAGUAUGUAUAGUACAAAUAUACUGUAUUGUUCUUGUCUAUGAAUCAUGCUGGUCACUAGUGUAUACAGAACUACUUAUCAAUCAAUCAAUCAAUCAAAGACAGAAAAUGCACGAUGAUUUUUGUGUUCCCGGAAAAAACGACAAAGGGCCUUUCACCUAUUCCUGGCGUUUACUGCUGUACGAUGCUCCCAUUACGAGGCAUAGGCAAACAAAACCCAUUUCUCCUGUUCCUUUUUUUAUUUUUCCCCUCACAAGCAAAGCAAAAUCGGUUUUGCAAUUUGGACACCAAUAAUUUACGAAUCUUCUCCCGCUAUAGGAUAAUCGAGUGACGUUAGGUUUGGUGGUGGCAGGGCAGGGUUCCAUUAUACAAUAAUAAUAUAUUUUAUUUUAUCUUCACAAUAAAAUAAAUAGAAGGCUAAAAGCUACACCUGCAAAUCAAUCACAAGGGGGAAUUCAACGCAUUUUGAUUACAGUCGCAGUAGUGUGACGGUGAGAAGAGAAGAAAUAAACGGUUGAGAAGAAGAAGUUGCAUCGAGUCACGGGGUGCCCAGAAAAAGGAAACAGUAGUGAAAACUGCAGAAAAACAGUUUUAACCUUUCCAAAAUUCCACGGCGACCAAAGGAAACGAAUGAAGUAAAUACUACCGGCAUUGCGCACUCUCUGAGGAAAAAGGGCAAAAAAAAGAUGAAUCGUCGAUCACAAUUUAUAGGCUGGCUGAAAUGUUUCCGUGUUAUCUAGAAAAAUAUGAAAGGUUCGAAGAAGUAAUAAUGAUCGGUCAUAAUAUAUAUUAAGUUAUAAAAAUAUUACCGUUAUUAUAAAAAAAAAAAAAAAAAAACCGUAGUGGCCAAGGCCUACAUUUUCCUGAAAAUACGGAAAGAAUGUGGAUGAUGCAACUUCACAAUUUUGGCAUUUACUACCAUUCAUAAUCCAAUGUGUAGUUGUAGCAGUGGUCGUACUUAGAAAGAAAGUAAGAAACAAAAAGAAAAGAAAAAAAUCCUGCAUGGGAAGUAGCAACGUCCUUAAUUGCUAGUAUUUGAUCCACUCUAGACUGCGGGACAAUUCGGAUAAAUGCUUUCCCGAUAAACUUCUUAUCCAAUCAAGUACCACGAUGGUCAAUGGCGGAGCCACGUUGAGGUGAACCUCCUCACUUUUCUAAAAAAUUUAAUGGAAUAUAAAAAAGUUUAAAAAUUACUCUCUCCCUUUUUCUAUAACCGACGUUUAAGAAAUUUACUCUUAUGUACUUUUAUCUGUCAUUUUAUUAUUCCCAUACAGUAUUAAUUAUUUUUUCACAAUUUUACCCUUUUAUCUCUCUUUUUCAAUACAGGAUUCUUAAUUACUACUCCUAGUAAUUAUUGCAUUGCUUUUGGCCUAGUAAAACAGCACCAUUUAGUACUUCAGUGAGAGAAAAUAUGGGUGAAUUGAAUAAUUAAUGAGGGUAUAAAAGAAAAGUAGUGUACAAAUUUAAGCAAUGAAAAAUUUUUUAUAAUUGAUGUAUAAAAUCUUAAACGUUAGUUAUAAAAAAAGGGAGGGAGUACUAUAAUAUUGCCUCACUCUUGUCUUGUCCCUCUGAGUUGAAAUAUUACACGUCUUGUCCUCAUGUCUUUCAUAAAAGACCAACAAUUACCUUCAUCCCUUCCCUGCCCAUUUCUGCGAAUCAACGCUUGCUUCCAAGUACAAACCCAACUUCAACAAAAGCAGCAAAUAUUCUGCUGUCAUAUUUAAUAACGCAUACUGAUCAGUGGCUUCAUUUUAUUUUAGGGAAGGAAUGAAUGAAUAGUCGAUAUUCAUGAAUGUCGUUGCAUUGCGGGUUGAAUCUUGAAAAACAUAGCCCAGCUUGGAAAAUUUUCACGUCUAACAUUUUCAACCUUCAUCACAUCAAAUCAUUCAGUAGCCAUUAAAACUCUCUAGUCUGUCUAUCCAGGAGGAUUCCCACCACAAAGGUUUCGAUCUAUCCUGCUAGUCUUCAAUUACGUCUCAGGGGCCCCCCAUCAUCCUCCUGACCAUAAGCUGCCAAUCUGUAAUAUCAACGAUUUCUGCCAUGCCAAGUCAUCAAAAUUAUGUCUUCUAUCGGCCUGCCUUUCUUGUCACACCAAUGCAUCAACGGACAAGAGAAGCACUCGCAAGAUUGUGUCCCUUUUUUUUUUGUAAAUGACAAUAAAAUCCUCCGAUGACUCGCUAUAAUUACAGACACCUCCCUAAGCUGGUGAGGUUUGUUUUGUUUCUGAGAGCUUCUCCAGGGUUUUUCCCGUACAGGCAUAAAUGCGUCCAGGUUUGCAAAAUUACCCAACAAUCAAGGGAGGACACCACGCAUGAGUUUACAAGCAACUAUGCUAAAAGGGCUGCGAAUCUUCUGUUAUACCUAGUGUAUAUCUUGUAAUAUUUGGUGCACCGUUCUAGUGAGUUGGUGUACACCACCCCAGUGGAAUGUACAACAAAUAUUGCAAGGUGUACUGUGUACACCAACAGUAGACAGUUAGGACCUCCGGUCAGGGGAACAAUUUUCAAUGUAUAAAUUUGUAGUAAAGUUAAAUCUCUAGUGUGGAUGAUUAUAUACCUUGAUAUUUAAAUUGUUGCUGCUGAUAUUUAAACUUGAGGUGGGGGUAGUGGCAAUUGCCAACGCUCUGUACAUGUGGCUCCAUCACUGUACACCAAUUUAAUGUAACGAUAUACCAAAUAUUACAAGAUGUAUAUACACUACUUUUAUAUAUAGAUAUACUCACCGAGUAUAUACACUACUAGGUGAGUAGACUAUAGGUGAGUGUGGCUAGGGAUGGCAAUGGGGGCGGGUGCCCGCGGGUGCCCGCCCCGCGGGGGGCUCACGAGGCGGGGGUUGGGGCGGGGGCGGGGGGAAUUUUUUCCCCCCGCUUAGAAACGGGGCGGGGGUAUACUCCCCCGCCCCAUCCCCCGCCCCGCCACCGGCAAAAAAAAAAAUAUAUAUAUAUAUAAAUGACUAUAUAUUAUAUGUAAGUUAAUUAGUUAUAAACUUAUGAUAAUGAUAUUAUUAGUUAGAUGUAUUAUAUAAUGUAUAUUAGUUUAUGUAAUAUAAUUGAUAUUAUCAAUUAUAUGAAUAAUUAUACAUGUCUACUAAUAGAAUUUAUUAAUUAGUUAUACUAAAUUUACUAAUACAUUUAUACUAAAUUUCUAAUUACACUUAAUAGAAUAACACUUUUUUCUCAAAAA